rnacentral:lncRNA from 1 species
UGAGGAACGGCUAAGGGAGCUGGGCAUGUUUAGCCUGGAGAAGAGGAGGUUAAGGGGUGAUAUGAUAGCCAUGUUCAAAUAUAUAAAAGGAUGUCACAUAGAGGAGGGAGAAAGGUUGUUUUCUGCUGCUCCAGAGAAGCAGACACGGAGCAAUGGAUCCAAACUACAAGAAAGAAGAUUCCACCUAAACAUUAGGAAGAACUUCCUGACAGUAAGAGCUGUUCAACAGUGGAAUUUGCUGCCAAGGAGUGUGGUGGAGUCUCCUUCUUUGGAGGUCUUUAAGCAGAGGCUUGACAACCAUAUGUCAGGAGUGCUCUGAUGGUGUUUCCUGCUUGGCAGGGGGUUGGACUCGAUGGCCCUUGUGGUCUCUUCCAACUCUAUGAUUCUAUGAUUCUAAGCAUUUUGGUUUCCCUGCUAAUGUCCCGGUCCUCAAACACUCUGCACUUCAAUCAGGAGAAAGCCGCACUCGCAGAGCUCAGGUGAUGCUGGAUUUCGGCAUCAAUGUUGGCCCUUGCGGAAAGAUAACUGCCUAGGUAGGAGAAGUGAUCAACAUUUUCCAACGUUACACCAUUGAGUUGGAUUUGUGGCACUGCAGAGGGGUUAUUUUGUACUUUUUGGUGCAACACUUUGUUUUUUUGGAUGUUGAGUGAUAGGCCAAGCUUUUCGUAAGCUUCUGCAAAGAUAUUUAGGAUGGUUUGGAGGUCAUCCUCUGAGCGUGCGCACACUACAUUGUCAUCAGCAUACUGAAGCUCUAUGAUGGAAGUUACAGUAACUUUACUCUUUGCUUUCAGCCUGCUCAGAUUGAAGAGCUUUCCAUCUGUUCGAUAUAUGAUUUCUACUCCGGUGGGGAGUUUCCCUUUGACAAAUUGUAGGAUUAUGGCAAUGAAAAUAAUGAAUAGAGUUGGGGCAAUAACACAACCCUGUUUAACACCUGUUCCCACUGUGAAUGGUUCACUUUGAGAGCCACUGUUAUCUGUGAUAGUUGCUGUCAUAUUAUCAUGAAGGAGCUGAACGAUGUUUACAAAUCUAUCUGGUGCAGCACUUUGGUUUUUUGGAGGGGGUUCGACUAGACAACCCUCGGGGUCCCAACUACCAUUCUAUAAUUCUAUGAUUCUAUCUCUCCCUGCCUGGCAUCUCUCCGCUUGGCGAUGUAGCCCCCUGAAUUUUGCGCAACCUUUGCAAGGCGAAGGCAACAGGCAGGAGCGAAAUCUCUUCUGGCAGUGCAUAAUCUCCAUCCUCGAAAGGGAUGUUUGUUCUCCUGCCCAGGUUGCGCCUGUCAUUCACACUCCACUUCCUGCGAGCAGCUUCCUCACACCCAGUUCCCUUCAGCCACCGCAGGCAGGCCCCCUGCAUGGCAUGACUAAUGUGUCAGGGCGGCCACCGGGGCGGCAGAACUUAAUGGGUUGUGGCACCUGCAGGACGCUGAGGCAAAGCGGGUUGGGUCUCCCGCAGCGCCCGCAGCUCAGAGGCGAGGGCCAGGCAGAAGUCAACGUCUGCAGAAAACGCAGGGAAAAGGUCAGUGGCUUCAUUUGACCCCAGAGAUGUUGACACAUCACUUGCAAGGACUCAGCACGGCAGCGUCUUGAACUGAUAUGCAGGAGGGAUGUGGCAGCCCCAUUGUGGAGCACAUCGGGACGCAUGACCUGGGGAGAGGCAAAUGCUUGGACUGACACCUUAUGCGCGGAAAACUCAGGGCAACAGGCAGCAUGUUGAAGCUACAAAGCAUGCUCCCGUCCCAAUUCAUCAUUGCAGAACCAUAGAAUUGUAGUAGUAGUAAUAAUAAUAAUAAUUUUUUAUUUAUACCCCGCCCUCCCUGGUUCAGAAAACCGGGCUCAGGGCGGCUAACAACAAAUUUAAAAGACUUAAUUGAUGCGACAAAAAACAGCAUAAAAUACAGUCUAAAACGUGAAUAACAAUAAAUUCAGAAUUCAAAAAUCAAUUUAGGGGGGAAAUCCAACCAAUAAACAUUAGAUGGUCAUCAGGGCUAGCUGGCUAAAUUAGUCCUAUUUGGGCCAGCGAGGAGACCAGGGGAGAAUUAGCUGUGGGAUCGCAGAGCGGUUAAUCUUCAUAAGAAGGGGAGGGGGAGGGAAGGAAGGGGAAUAAAAGAUCAGGCUAAGUUCACUUUGAAAGCCAGGCGGAAUAGCUCUGUCUUACAGGCUAAGCGGAAGGAAGUUAAAUCCUGAAGGGCCCUAGUCUCAUGGGACAGAGCAUUCCACCAGGUCAGAGCCAUCACUGAGAAGGCCCUUGCCCUGGUGGAGGAUAAUCUGACUUCCUUAGGGCCCGGGACCUCUAAACUAUGGUUAUUCAUGGACCUUAAGGUCAUCCACGGGGCAUACCAGGAGAGGAGGUCCCAUAAAUAUGAGGGCCCUAAGCUACAAAGGGCUUGUAGAGUUGGAAGGGACACUGAGGGUCAUCUAGUCCAACCCCCUGCAAUGCAGGAAUCUCAGCUGAAGCAUCCAUGACAGAUGGCCAACCAACCUCUGCUGAAAAACCUCCAAUGAGAGAAGAGUCCAUCACCUUCUUAGGGAAUCAGUUCCACUGUCAAAUAACUCUUGCCAGCAGAAAUUUCUUCCUGAUGUUUAGUCGCAAUCUCCUUUCUUGUAGCUUGAAGCCUUGGGUUCGAGUCCUACUCUCUGGAGCAGGAAAAACAAGCCUGCUUCAUCCGCCAUGUGACAGCCCUUAACAUAUUUGAAGAUGGCUAUCAUAUCUCCUUUCAGUCUCCUCCUUUUCAAGUUAAACACACACAGCUCCCCCAGCUGUUCCUUAUAAGGCAUGGUUCCCAGGUCCUUCAUCAUCUUGGUCUUAUAUAAUUCAGCAUUCUUCAACCUGGUGCCCUCCAUAUGUUUUGGACUAUAAUUCUCAUCAGCCCCAACCAUCACGGAUACCUGGAGGACAACAGGUCGGGGAGGCUUGCUUGUAUUAUCCUGGAGGAUGGAAUAUUUAAACAAGAACUGUCCUGUUUUGGGGUGGGUGGGUGUGUUGGCAAUACACUGCAACAUUUUGUUGUAGCGCUCACUUGAAACAGACCUAGUCCCAUAACAAAGAUCCAUUCUCUUUGUUGUAUGCCGAAGUGCAAUAGUCAGCAAUACGUCUCAGAAAGAGGGUCACCUGGCUUGCGAAUUUGUGUGACUCAUCUCGUUUUAAUAGAUUUUGGGGGUGCACAAACUACUUUGAUGAUAAUUAGCCACCCACAAGACUGUUCCCCCCGAAAUAGCCAGUUGCCAUAGAUACAGCAAGCAUGAAUCCUAUAUGUAUGAAUGUUGUUACCUCGAUAAUGAGCCAUUACAUAACACAAACAUAUUUUACUAAACAGCUCUUUAGCAAAUAGUUGUUACCAACAUACACACUGAAGCUGAUACCUAGGAUUUACUAUAUAUAUAGAUGGUUACUUAUAACUCCCUUCUUAACUCAUCCAAACCAUCAUUUAGCUACUACUACAACUAAUCCAGAAUGUGGCAGCUAGACUGGUGACUGGCAGCGGCCACCGAGACCACAUAACACCGGUCCUGAAAGAUCUACAUUGGCUCCCAGUAUGUUUCCGAGCACAAUUCAAAGUGUUGGUGCUGACCUUCAAAGCCCUAAACGGCCUCAAAGGCCCAGUAUACCUGAAGGAGCGUCUCCACCUCCAUUGUUCUGCCCGGAUACUGAGGUCCAGCUCCAAGGGCCUUCUGGUGGUUCCCUCCCUGCGAGAAGCCAAGUUACAGGGAACCAGGCAGAGGGCCUUCUCGGUGGUGGUGCCUGCCCUGUGGAACACCCUCCCAUCAGAUGUCCACCGUACAUUACUCAUUAAUCAGCAACUGUUAGGUGUUCUGCUGCUCCUACGUAGCUUCAGUGGAAUUUCCCAAAUGUUCCCUUUAGCAAUACACAUACAGAACAUAUAGGGAGCUAUUUUCCAUUUCAGUGUACAGUUAAACAAUUAUACGUAACAUUGUCUAUACCAGCAGUUCCUGAUGACGGCAACUUUCCCUGGGCGUGGUGGGAUUACCUAGGGGGCACUAAGAGGCAAGAGGGUGGCAGCAGGGGGCGCUGACUAUCAAAACUUGUAUCAAAUCUACAGGAUUCCUGGCAGGAUCGGACCAAGGCAGAAUAGAGAGAUUCUAUUCCUUCCUUUGAUCUGGGCAUUAAACUUCUAUUGAUGCAGCCUAGGAUUGUAUUCACUUCUUAUUUUAUUUUUGCUGCUGUUGCUUCUGAUCCAUUCACGCUGGGUGCUGUAGCUGCACCAGCAAAGUAAAUCAGCUUGGAAUCAGCUCUUUCCAAUAAUAAUAAUAAUAAUAAUAAUAAAUUAUUUAUACCCCGCCCAUUUGGCUGAGUUUCCCCAGCCACUCUGGGCGGCUCCCAAUCAAAUGUUAAAAACAGUACAGCAUGAAAUAUUAAAAACUUCCCUGAACAGGGCUGCCUUCAGAUGUCUUUUAAACAUAGGAUAGCUGCUUAUUUCCUUCACAUCUGAAGGGAGGGUGUUCCACAGGGUGGGCGCCACCACCGAGAAGGCCCUCUGCCUGGUUCCCUGUAACUUGGCUUCUCGCAAUGAGGGAACCACCAGAAGGCCCUCGGUGCUGGAUCUCUGUGUCCGGGUUGAACGAUGGGGGUGGAGACGCUCCUUCAGGUAUACAGGACCAAGGCCGUUUAGGGCUUUAAAGGUCAGCACCAACACUUUGAAUUGUGCUCAGAAACAUACUGGGAGCCAAUACAGAUCUCUCAGGACCGGUGUUAUGUGGUCCCGGCGGCCAGUCCCAGUCACCAGUCUAGCUGCCGCAUUCUGGAUUAAUUGCAGUUUCCGGGUCACUUUCAAAGGUAGCCCCACGUAGAGCGCAUUGCAGUAGUCUAAGGGAUGUGCUACAGAAAACUAGAUUGUUCCAUCCUCUGCAACGUGGCCUCACCACCCUAUGAAUGCCACAUUCCUCUGCCUUCCAGAAUAUCUCCUGCUCUGACUUGCCAAGCGGCAAGCCUGCCUCCUGAAACCAUGUCUUGUUGAUGCCAUUGUUCAUUGGUUUUGAAAACCUCGCCGGACCCUUACUCUCAGGCCUUGACUAAUGCAGGUAUUCGUUGACUAUUCCUCUUGCUUUUCCCCUGAAAGAGAAAAAUGCACGUAGCAAGUUCAGCCAAAUUUUGUAGGCGAUUCCAUCGUCAGCCUAACAGAGGUUUGCAAAGGCGAGCACAAUAUUGGAGGAAGGUCUCUGCGAAAGAAUGAGGCGGCUUUUAGGGGUUAAAUAGUCUUUGCCAUUGGUAUAUGUCAAGCUGAAAGAAAUUGGCCUUGCGGCGUUUAGGGCAUUGUGUUCCUGGUCUGAAUAGCUUGUUAUGCCAUCAGCAGCAGACAGAAUAUCUCCUUCUACUUACAGGAGGCAAGAAUAAACCCCCUUUCCUAGGCUAUCCAUGUGCAUAAGAUUUUUAAAAAAUAUAUAUUUUUAAUUUUCAUUUUACAACAAACAAAAAGCAAAAAAACCCUCUUUCAAAAUAAAGUUAUUACACAUAUCAUCUUUCGACUCCUCCAUCCCCCACUUUUUGCGGUUCCUUAUAUUUAUAAUAGUUCUACUGCGUUUCCAAAUUAAACCUAUUUAUUAUUUAUCACAUAUAAUCAAUAAUUGUUUAAUAUCACUGCUCUUUUUUUUACAUCAAUCCUGCUAAUGUCUUAAUCCGCUUGCAGUAUUUUUGUAAACAUUCAAUAAGCGAUUUCCGCUCUACAUUAAAAACUUUGUCGCCUAGAUUUCUUAUUCUUCCAGUAAGCUUCACCAUUUCUGCAUAGUUCAAGAGUUUCUGUUGCCAUUCCGCUUUUGUCGGGACAUUUUCUUCCUUCCAUCAAUGGACAAAUAACAUUCGGGCAGCCAUGGUCACAUACAUAAAUCGAUUUUUAUAUUGUUUAGGUAUCUCUAGUCCCAUAACUCCCAAAGGAAAAGCCUCUGGUUUCUUCCACGUGAAUAAUAAUAAUAAUAUUAAUAAUAAUUUAUUAUGUAUACCCCGCCCAUCUGUCUGAGUUUCCCCAGCCACUCUGGGCGGCUUCCAAUCGAGUGUUAAAAACAAUACAGCAUUAAAUAUUAAAAACUUCCCUAAACAGGGCUGCCUUCAGAUGUCUUUUAAAGAUAAAAUAGCUGCUUAUUUCCUUCACAUCUGAAGGGAGGGCGUUCCACAGGGUGGGCGCCACUACCAAGAAGUCCCCCUGUCUGGUUCCCUGUAACUUGGCUUCUUGCAGGGAGGGAAUCGUCAGAAGGCCCUCGGAGCUGGAUCUCAGUGUCCAGGCUGAACGAUGGGGGUGGAGACGCUCCUUCAGGUAUACAGGACCUUUGGCCAUUUAGGGCUUUAAAGGUCAGCACCAACAUUUUGAAUUGUGCUCGGAAACGUACUGGAAGCCAAUGCAGAUCUCUCAGGACCGGUGUUAUAUGGUCCCAGCGGCCAGUCAUCAGUCUAGCUGCCACUUUCUGGAUUAGUUGUAGUUUCCAGGUCACCUUCAAAGGUAGCCCCAUGUAGAGUGCAUUGCAGUAGUCCAAGCGGGAGAUAACCAGAGCAUGCACCACUCUGGCGAGACAGUCUGCGGGCAGAUAGGGUCUCAGCCUGCGUACCAGGUGGAGCUGAGAUUUGCCCAAAUGACGGGACCACAACUCCUGGCUGUGCCCUGCCAUCAUGUCCCCCCACUGGCCCCUUUUGAGAGGUCUUUGCUCAAAGUGUGGACACCAGGGCAAAAUCAGAAGGGGGACGUAAUAUUAGGGCCCCGCCCUGUCCUGUGUGAGUCAGAGCAAUGUGUGAGUCAAGCUAGUUUGUUCACAACCCCUUCCCCUCCCUUCCCAGCUGUGGCUUAUUCCAUCCUAUUGUGGAACAGAAGCCGAAGGAGUUUCUUCUAUUGUGCCUAAGUCAGCAUUAUCGACCGGCGCUAGGAGAAAAGCACCGAUGUUUUCGUUCUAUAGGCAGAUAAGCCUCUUCCCCGACAAGAUUAUUUCAAAUGGUCCGUUUAGCUUACAGGGACCCAAGGUACACGACGGCACGACGGCCUCCGCCUGCAUUAACGAUUCUUUACAUCGGGCUUGUAAAGAGCUAUUAAGACACCGUUUUUCAUAGCAUCCUCCGGCUUCCGUACCACUAUGGAAACCUUUGCGCGGCAAUUAAAUUUGUGUUUGCCACAUUGGUCAGUGCUCAUAUUAACACUGCACAGGGAAUGCAGAGACCUGGUCGCUCUAUAACACUGUGUGGGCAGGUAAUGCGUGGAUGUUUCAUAGGGAACAGCCAAGUUGCGAACUCUGGUGUCCUGUGGCUACGUCUUUCUCUCUGCAGGCAUGUCAACAAGAUCAGCAUCCCCCAUGUGCUGGUCCUGGUGGGGUUUACCGUGCGGCAUGGUCUAAGUCCGGUCCUAGGUUGAGGGUAAGCAGGCUGUCCGUCAGGGGCGAAGCGAGGUCCAAAGCGAGGAGUUGGGCAUGGUCAGGAACUCAGGAGAGCAGGACAAGGUGCAGGCAGGAACAUGUUAUCAACAAUGUUGCUCCCGCAACCUGGGACUGGGCUGGCUGGCUUUUAUCCAGUAUUUUCAGACAGCGAGAAAUAUUUGAAGAUUGUUGUUGUUUAAUCAUUUAGUCGUGUCCGACUCUUCGUGACCCCAUGGACCAGAGCACGCCAGGCACUUCUGUCUUCCACUGCCUCCCGCAGUUUGGUCAAACUCAAGCUGGUAGCUUCGAGAACACUGUCCAACCAUCUCGUCCUCUGUCGUCCCCUUCUCCUUGUGCCCUCCAUCUUCCCCAGCAUCAGGGUCUUUUCCAGGGAGUCUUCUCUUCUCAUGAGGUGGCCAAAGUCUUGGAGCCUCAGCUUCAGGAUCUGUCCUUCCAGUGAGCACUCAGGGCUGAUUUCCUUCAGAAUGGAGAGGUUUGAUCUUCUUGCAGUCCAUGGGACUCUCAAGAGUCUCCUCCAGACCAGAAUUCAAAAGCAUCCAUUCUUCGGCAAUCAGCCUUCUUUAUGGUCCAGCUCUCACUUCCAUACAUCACUACUGGAUAUUUGAAGAUACAGGCCUUCAGAGUAGCCCCCUCUGAUACAACACACCGGUGACAACGUCCGUAGAACUGUUGGAGACUUCUGGAGAAGUCCUCUUUUUGUUCCCUCGUCACAGCAGCUUGGACAUGUGAAAUGUUGGAAGACCUGUGCCUUUUCAGUGCAGAUUUCAGUUUUGGAAAAAGAAAGAAAUCUGGUGGGGCCAAAUUGGGAGAAUAUGGAGGGUGGAGCAACUCAGUGACCUCCGUAACGAUUUGACACGGAAUAUGCAAUUCUUCCGCCAUCAUUCGGACGGACAAACGCCGAUCCCACAUCAAUAACUCAUGAACUCUGUCGACAUUUGCCGCUGUUCUGCUCUUUGAUAGUUUGCCGCCUUUCACGGUAACGCUUAAACCACUCAUACACUGCCUUUCAAGUUACAGCUUCAUCUCUGUACACAAUUGUGAGCAUUUUGUGGGUUUCCAAUGCCGGUUGUAUGUUUGAAUAUUUCUCGCUGUAUGAUUUCUGUGACCAUUCACCAAACUUUCUGGUCACAUCUUGUAGAACUGUAAAGUUGGAAGAGACCAUGUGGGUCUAUAAGCCUAACUCCCUGCAAUGUAGGAAUCUAUUGGCAACGUGGACUCAAAUCCACAACCCUGAGAUUAAGAGUUUCGUGCUCUACCAACUGAGCUAUGUUAUUGUUCCAUCUUUCUCGCAAACCAUUCUGAGGGUUUUCUUUCUACAAUCAAGCAGUAUAUAUCUUUUAUAAAACAAAUUAUGAAAUAAACACUGACAGAGGGAGAGCUUAGAUAAGCAAUUCUCACUGGGAAUCAGGUUUAGCACCCAGAAAUUAGUCGCAGCCGUGUGCAUCAACACUGGCCCCAUGCAGUCCAGUCUUUUCACCUCUCCUAUGGGGAGGUGACUGAUUGCUGAGGAAACGUUUUUAGCUCAAGGGCCAAAUUUGAUUCUGGGUGACCUUCCGAGGGCCGCAUGCCAGGGGGCGGAUGGAGCAGGAGGCAAAAGUGAGCAACAAAUUAGCAACAACAACAUUCUGGCUUUUUGCAAGACCAGGAUUCAAUGAAAACAACAAAAAAUUCAAUAAAUAGAAAAAUAGAGAGAGAUAGAUAUGAGCCUUCUCUCACUCAUCUCAGGAAAUUCUGCCACUCUUUGCCACCAGGGUUGGCUCAAGACAUGUUGGCACCUGAGGUGAACCACAAAAUGGAGCCCACCACAACCAGGGAAGAAAAUGUGAGGGGCAGCAGCAGCAGCUGGCAAAAUACCGUAUUUUUCGCUCUAUAGGAUGCACCGGACCAUAGGACGCAACUUGUUUUAGAGGGGGAGAACAGGAAAAAAAUAAUUCGCCCCCUCUCUGCUCAGCACCCCUUCAGUGAAGCGGCAGGAGAAACGGAGCCCCUUCCAUUUCUCCUCCCACUUCGCUGAAGGGGCGCUGCGCAGAGAGGGAAAACUGCAGCGCCUCUCUAGCGAAGCGAAGCCUGGAGAGCAAGAGGGAUCAGUGUGCACCGACCCCUCUCACUCUCCAGGCUUCAGGCAGCUAUCCGCAAGCCUUCGGAGCGCAGCGGGAACUCCUGCUGCGCUCUGAAGGCUUGCGGAUAGCUGCCUGAAGCCUGAAGCCUCCACAGCGCAGCGGGAACUUUGCUCCAUAAGACGCACACACAUUUCCCCUUAAUUUUUGAAGGGGAAAAAGUGCAUCUUAUAGAACAAAAAAUACGGUAUUCCUCAGAGGCCAGAUCUGUCGGCCCUGUAGAUCCCGACGCCUGAGGCAGUCGCCUCAUCUUGCCUCAUGGGUGGGCCGGCCCAGACCUCCACCAGUCCUCUGGCAACCUUGACCCUGACCGCAAAGGACGUGCUAAUGGAGGGAAGGGAACCAUAGCACAGGGCGUCCAGAUGGCGCGUGGGAAAUGGAUGACGCCGUCCCAAAGCCGUGGGCUCCUUGCCUCCCUGUCUGCGGUUAGGGAGGAGAAAAUGUGAUCUAGCAAAAAGCCAGCAUGGGUUUUACUGUUUCUUUAAUUAUAAUUUCCAGAAGUUGAAAGCUUCCACGGGCUUUUAUGAAUAUGAAGAGCCCACUACUGUCACCUCCUGCUGCUUUAAUAAUUUUAUUAGCGGCAUCCACCGUGCGCAGGAAGACAAUGGGAGCAGAGCCGUCUCUCUGAAUUACUUUAUACAUAAAGGGAACGGUCUAGUUCUGAGCCAAACUCCUUCCUUCAUUCUGUGUCCGUUUCCCUGACUGUUCAAAAAUGCCCCCUGUUUUAAGUUACUUUCGUCGCUCGCAGGGAGUGUUCGCAUGUCGCUUUGAUGCCUCACUUCUUUGGCUCCAUCUUCCUUUUCUUUCGUGUUUCAUUCCUCUUUUCACCCCCGGCUAGCUCUGUUUCUCAGUUCUCCUUUGUUGUCCUCGCUGUCCUCAUUUACCCUCAUUGGAAUUCAAUCGCGUUGGCCAAAUCUACCCAUGUGACCCCCAUUCAGUUGCCCUCAGCCAAUCGGACCCACAUGAGUUGCCCUCAGCCAAUCGGAUCCAAUGGCAAAUGAGGGCAAGGUCAGCGAAGGCAAAGAAGAAGGGCAAUGAUGCCAGGAAGGAGGAAGGGAAGAAAUGGGCGUCAAACUCCUAACUCUCUGCCAAUGUGAGUACUGUUUUGGACCAACCUUGUAUUACACGUAGUGUUUCCAAAGUGAUUUGUGAAAUUUCAUGGUGUCCAACAAAUGGCUAACGUCAUCUUCCAGGGUGUUUUCCUGCACAGGCUCAAUUUAAGUUGGCUUUUGCCAACCAAUUGCCUUCAAGGAGCCUGAAGGAGUAUCUCCAACACCAUCGUUCAGCCCAGACACUGAGGUCCAGCUCCGAGGGCCUUCUGGCAGAGCAAGCCUGGAGCCAUUUAGACUCUCCCAAUGACCUCAAAUAUUCCUCUGCAGUAAGGGAGGCAAAUGGGGAAAGCCUUCCCAUUUCCUGUCUUAAGAGCAUAUUUGUGUAUGACUAGGGCGAGCUUGUGACCUGGAUUCAGGAACUAAAGUAUUAACCAUCACAAAAGAAUGGCCAGUCUGCCCAGGUAAUGCAAUCAGUGACCAUUAUCAGGUAUCCUGGCAGGCAGGAUUUCUGCUGUAGACUGCCUCCUUCUGUGAUGUAUGUAUGAUGUUUCAGGGGGGUGGUCUUGGGCUACAGGGUGGGCAAUUUCAAAAGUCUAUAUAAGGGCUUGCGCACCAUUGUUCAGGGUUCUCCUCCCUCUUGUGUGUGGUGAGGGGGGACCCUAUUGCAACAUUUCCUUUACUAAAGAUCAGGCUUCCUAGCUGCUUCGCUUCUCAAUAUACCCUGGUUGGCCUCUGUUUUCUCCUACUGAUAGGGAACCCAUUUAAGGACUCUAUACGGGCUCUGGAAUACCCCAUAAGGGAAAGGGAGCAGUUUUUCUUAUAGGAUGUCCUUUGCAAGGCUGGGAAGAUGGUACGUGUGGUGUGUGUGUGUGUGUGUGUGUGUGUGUGUGAGAGAGAGAGAGAGAGAGAGAGAGAGAGUCUUUCACCAGACCCAGGCAGCUUCCCUCUCCCAGGCCUCUGUGAAGUCGCCGUCGUCCCCAGAUGUUGCUAUUUUCAGAGCAUCUGAGUUGCAUUUCAAUUACACGGCAGCUUCCUGGGGCUGUUGGGAGGGUGUGUGUAACGUGCUUGUUCUUUAUGAUAAUAACUUACCUUGCUUCCUUUUAUUUGGGGGGAAAAGGGGGAGGGAAAGGAGUGGGAGAGAGACUGGCACAUCCAGUCGAGUUCAGAGUCCCAGAGCAGCAAUUCAGUUGAGUGUUGAGACCCCAAAGCCACCCACUCGUUGAGAAAUAACACACACAAGGACACAGACAUUGUUGUUGUUUAGUCAUUUAGUCGUGCCCGACUCUUUGUGACCCCCUGGACCAGAGCACGCCAGGCACUCCUGUCUUCCACUGCCUCCCACAGUUUGGUCAAACUCAUAUUAGUAGCUUCGAGAACACUGUCCCACCAUCUCGUCCUCUGUCGUCCCCUUCUCCUUGUGCCCUCCAUCUUUCCCAACAUCAGGGUCUUUUUCAGCGAGUCUUCUCUUCUCAUGAGGUGACCAAAGUCUUGGAGCCUCAGCUUCAGGAUCUGUCCUUCCAGUGAGCACUCAGGGCUGAUUUACUUCAGAAUGGAGAGGUUUGAUCUUCUUGCAGUCCAUGGGACUCUCAAGAGUCUCCUCCAGCACCAGAAUUCAAAAGCAUCCAUUCUUGGGUGAUCAGCCUUCUUCAUGGUCCAGCUCUCACCUCCAUACAUCACCACUGGGAAAACCAUAGCUUGAAUUAUAUGGACCUUUGUUGGCAAGGUGAUGCCUCUGCUUUUUAAGAUGCUGUCUAGGACACAGACAUUAGGUUACUGUUAUUGAAUGGACCAGACUAUAUCUGACUCCUGCCCUAUGCGUAAGGGUAAAUCACCGGAAGGGGGAGCCCUGUCAAUGCAGACCAACUCGAGCUCCCCCUGGUGUUCCCAUCGGGGUCGUGUCAUGGCCCUAGCCCCUGCCCCAGGCUUUGGACAAGAUCCAUACCCCGGAUUCCUUUAACGGAAUACCCUUAAGCUUGGAGGGGCAGGUGAUGGCCACAGCUCCCCUCCCCCAUCACAAGGUCAAACAAUGCCUAACCGCAACCCUAACAAAGUUGUGAUGAUUGCUACGAGGUAGGCGAAAACCAAAUGGCCUGUGCCAAUUUGCCAAGUGGAAAAAUUCCUACCAGGCCCCUGAACGGCGACCAACCAAGGGCCAUAGCAAGGCCAAUGACUAGAACCUGCAAAAUAGGGAGGGAGGGCAAGUGAUUGAGGAAGCGAGCCAAAGAGGAAGCCCUCCGGCUCGCGCCUCUGCUUAAAUGGUCCUGGCCACGCCCCCCCCCAGCGAGCAGAUUGGCUGGCCAGUCGCUGACGUGGCUGGGAUCCCCCGGGCAAUGGCGGACUAAGUCCCCCGCACCCGGAGGAGAGUGGGUGGCCACGCGGUCCACCGCAACUCCUCCCCACAGGGAAGUGGAGCGGACUUCCCAAGAACGCCAUCUCCUUAAGGGGCAAGAGGUCAGCCAUGACCGCUGCACAGGGCACACUCAAACACAGGUCUGUAGCUCAGUGGUGGAACAUCUGAUUUGAAUGCAGAAUGUCCCCUGCUCCAUCCACAGUGGCAACUCCAGCUAGGGCUGGGAGAAACCCUGGAGAGCUAUGGACAAUACUGGGCGAAGUGGACCCAUGUCUCUGACUCAGUAGAAGUGCCCCUGAAAACUCCUUGACCAACACACCAGGUCCCUCUGGCUCUGUCUGCAAAAGGCUUGAACAAAACAGAUUUAAAAAAUUGCCAGACCUAUACGCUGGUAUGCUCCUGAUGCCGUCGCAACGGGGCUAUAUUAUGUAGUCCAUUAUAUAGCCCAACAAACUCAUCAGAAUUUUAGUGCCCAUUACUCCUAAUAAUACUCAUUUCUGCAAGCAAUUCCACCACACAUAAUGCAUGUUUUGCGUAUUGUCAUGAAUAUAUGUAUUUUUAUGCACACUUUCUCCAUAAAAUACACAUUUUUGUACAUAGUUUUGGCUGGAGAACCUAGGGGAGAUGUGUUUGUUUGUGUGUUUUGUUUUGCGAAGGGCUGAUGAGGUAGGAUCACAUUAAUAGGCAAACUAAACCAGAUUGCUCCGCUUCCCCACCUCCUGCCCAAAUUUCCCCUGGCAAUAUAUAUAUAUAUAUAUAUGGAAUCAACGGAAACCAAAUUGGAUACAAUUUGCUUAUGGCUGAAGAGGAUGCACCUCUCUUUCCUCCUUUAGACAAAAGACAAAUCAGACAUUGCAUUGCAUUCUUCGUGCAGCUGUGCAAAUAACAACGUGUCUAUGUGGGCCAAGUGGUUCGAAUCCCCCCGACGGCGUGAGCUCCCGUUGCUCGGUCCCAGUUCCUGCCCACCUAGCAGUUCGAAAGCACGUCGAAAAGUGCAAGUAGAUAAAUAGGUACCACUCCAGUGGGAAGGUAAAUGGCGUUUCCGUGCGCUGCUCUGGUUCACCAGAAGCGGCUUAGUCAUGCUGGCCACAUGACCUGGAAGCUUCAGGUUACGUUUUCUCAGGUUGCUGACUGCCAAAACCUGGAAGUGCUGGAACGGGUUACUUCUGGGUUUCGGCAGUUGCGCAUGCACAGAAGCACUAAAUUGCACUUUGCGCAUGUGCAGAGGCACUGAAUUGCAACCCGCACUUGCGCAGAUGCACAGAUGCGGCUUGUGAACACUGCGGGUUGUGAAUGUGAAUACCGCACGGAUCACGUUUGCAACCCGAGCGUUCACUGUAUUCCUCAAAACGCAAACACAAAGAUCAGCUUGCAGUCAGAGCUGGACAAAGACAUUUCGUUGCUGUGUGUGAAAGGAAGCCUGGUGCUUAAGGGAGUCAGAAGACAACAUUUUUGGCUCCACCCAGCAUCCAUUGCAUUCUGCUGCAGUUCAUGCUCCAGCAAAACCUACACCAUUGGUCUCAUUGUCCACCAUGGCGACAUUACGUAACUUGCGCCAUUUGUUACAAAACUUACAUUGUUGUCACCUUAUUCCACCAUGAUCAUGUCGUUGCAAAGGAAACACGCCGCAAAUGGAAGCGGAGAAUGCAACCAAUUAUUUAUCAUUUGCAGACCGAAAGCAACAACGGCAAAUACAGAUUGUAUUCAUUGGAUUGAUUUCUGGACUUGGGACGAAGAAGCAAACAUUGACUCUUUCUGCUUCUCUUUCCGCUGGGAUUCUCCAGCCUCCCAGCAUCUCCAGCGUCCAUGUGAUCAGGCUGGGAGAUGGAUCUUAUUUUAGCAGCAGUGACAGGACAUUAGCAUCCUCCUGAAGGCAGAAGUCUAGCUCAGGAGGCACAAGGCAGGCAACGGAGUCCAAACCACACAGCUCUGUUUGCUCGAAUCCUGCUUGCAAGUUUCUCACAGGAUGCUGGGUGUGAGAAGCUGGAGUCCAAGCGUAGGUCAGCAAUAAAAUAAUAAUAAUAAUAAUAAUAAUAAUAAUAAUAAUAAUAACUUUAUUGUCAUUGUACAACCUGUGUAUGGGAUGCAGGUGGUGCUGUGGGUUAAACCACAGAGCCUAGGACUUGCCGAUCAGAAGGUUGGCAGUUCGAAUCCCCAUGACAGGGUGAGCUCCCGUUGCUCGGUCCCUGCUCCUGCCCACCUAGCAGUUCGAAAGCACAUCAAAGUGCAAGUAGAUAAAUAGGUACCGCUCCGGCGGGAAGGUAAAUGGUGUUUCUGUGCGCUGCUCUGGUUCGCCAGAAGCGGCUUAGUCAUGCUGGCCACAUGACCUGGAAGCUGUACACUGGCUCCCUCAGCCAAUAAAGCGAGAUGAGCGCCGCAACCCCAGAGUUGGUCACGACUGGACCUAAUGGUCAGGGGUCCCUUUACCUUUACAACCUGUGUACAAUGAAAUUAAACAAGCCUUCCCCUGCCCAAACCCUCAGUCUCAUUGCACUCUGUGUGCUUAUUGAACAACACACCACCUCACAAGUCAAUUUUGCUAUGUUAUUUUCCAUCAACAGCCUAACAGCCCACGGAUAGAAGCUAUUUUUUAGGCUCUUGGUACGGCUGUUUAUACGUCUAUGUCACCUGCCCAAGGGUGGAAGAUUAAAGAAGUGAUUCAUCCCUGAGAAUUUUUCUUGCUCUCUUAAGGCAACGAUCCCUUGCGAUGUCAUCUAACGGACUCAAGGGACAGCCCAUGAUAUCACGUGCUGUAUUCACCACCCUUUGUAGAGACUUUCUUUCUGUGGCUGUCAAGCCAGCAUACCACACUGUAAUACAAUAUGAAAGGACACUUUCUAUUGUGGACCGGUAAAAGGAGUUCAUCUGUUGUUGUUUAACAUUAUUCUUUCGCAAGACCCUGAGGAAAUGGAGUCUCUGUUGGGCCUUUCUGACCACCUGAGUUAUGCUGAUUUUCCAAGUGAGGUCCUCACUAAGGUAAACUCCCAGGAAUUUAAAGGAGGAGAAUUUCUCCACACAGCCCCCCUGAUAUACAACAGGGCAGGUUCCCCACUCUUCCUCCAGAAGUCCAACACCAUCUCCUUUGUCUUACUAAUAUUUAGGUGCAAGUUAUUCUCUGAGCACCAUGUAGAUACUUUUUGAACCUCCCCCCUGUACGCUGUUUCAUCUCUGCCUGCAAUUAGGCCCAUUGUCAGCAAAGUUAAUUCUUUAUUCAAAUGAACCAAAACAGCUCAGUCCUAGUGGGGACAGCAGCCCUUCUCAGUAGGUCUUGCCCCCAAGGAAGCAGUUGCUAGGACUGAAGGUUACCACUUUCCCACUGUUCUCUAAGGUUCCUCCCCAGGUUCCUAAGGCUCCUUCAUCUUGUCUCUCGUUGCUCGGCUCUCUUCAUGCCUCUUCUGCUUCUGGGAGACCACUGGGAGGGAAUCUGGUUGUAGCAGGAGGGGGAGACUCCCUGGACUCUUUAGCAGCCUGUCUGUCUCCUGGCCUCCCUCUGCUUCCGCCUUUGCCUCUGGACUGCUCUCUGCCACAGCCUCCUCCUGCUCACUAAACCCUGUUGCCUCUUCAGCUCCCAGCACUUCAUCCUCCCAGUCUGGUCCCUCUUUUCCCUCUGACCAUGCAUUGCCGUCCCACUACCAAUCCCCUCGCUUUCAGCCUUCUUCCCCUGGGGGUUCCCUUGUAUCCAGCCGGUCCGUGACACUGGACUAAAUGGGGGUCUUGGGCCUGAUCCAGCAGGCUCUUCUCAUGUUCUUAUGCUCUUUGUCCUCCAACAUUUUCCUGCCAUGUGCACCCUUCUCUGCCCCAUGGAAAGACGGCACUCAUUCAUAGAAUUGUAGAGUUGGAAGGGACCCUGAGCAUCAUCCAGUGCACCCCCUGCAAUGCAGCAAUAGGAAUCUCUCCAAUAUGGGGAUCGAACCUGCAACCUUGGGGUUCAUCAUCAGCACCACACUCUAACUUGAACUGGUCCCUCCAAAAGUACUACAGUGGACGCUCUGGUUGCGAACGUGAUCCGUGCAGGAAGCAUGUUCGCAACCCGCAGCGCCGCGUCUGCGCACACGCGGGUCGCGAUUUGGUGCUUCUGCGCAUGCGCAAAGUGCAAUUUAGCGCUUCUGUGCAUGCGCAAGCGCCAAAACCCAGAACUAAUCUGUUCUGGUACUUCCGGGUUCGGUGCAGUGCGCAACCCAAAAUCGCGCAACCCGAAGUGCCUGUAACCCAAGGUAUGACUGUACUUUGUUCUCCCUGUAUGGGAUUUUCCUAAUAGAACAAUAUGUCUUGCUGCAUGUAUGCUCUUUGAUUAAAACUGUUAUCUGACUGCUUAUUGACCCACCCACUCCCUGAAAGCAUCUUUCAAUGGAAUUAAAUUAUUAUUUCCCCUUUCCGCGCAAUAGUCAAUAUCCUGCCCAAUUUGUUUCGAUAUGAGCUUUGCUUAAGUGACAGGGCCCAAGUACGUCCUUCAGAUAAAUUGCAUGGAUUUUGUGUGUCUGAGCAAUACUGACUAUCCACCGCAAGUGAGGAAGUGAGAUCAGAGCCAGGGAUGUGCUGUUCGUAGAAUCAGAGAAUCAUAAAGAUCCCCUUCAUUUGGCCUCUUGCAAGGGUGUGUGUGUGUGUGUGUGUUUAUACUUGAAACUCUUCCAAUUAUCUCCCUAAAGAGUCUUUUUCGAAAGGGGGGGCACCCAACAUCAUUAUUUUUCUGGUUCUUCAUUUCUUUUCUCCCCCCAAGAGCUCUUGCAAAGCUUGGGGUCAUCAAAUCCAAUCUGGACGCUGCUAUUUUCGCUAUUUGCGAGGGGAGGGGGGGAAUCUAAUAUUCUUCAUUUAAUAUACUUACUUUCCCUUGCGGGGUGGGAAUCAUAAAUUGGCAAACUAUUUCAUUAUUGUCCAAAUUCCCCCUUUGCUCUAAUUCUUCCUCUUCAUAAAACAUUAUGAAAUAAAAGAGACAUAAACACUGCCUUAGAUACAACGAAUUAGAGGAAAACUUCUAUUGGGUCAGACUUUGGGGCCACCUGCAAUGACCGGCAAUGGUUUUUUCUGUGUUUCAGGCAAUACCUGGAGAGAUGGUGGGGAUUGGAGCUGGAAUAUUCUGCAUGCAAGACAGGUGUGCUGAGCUCUGCCCCCUUCCAAACGCCCAUCCUGACCUCUCUUACAACACACCCAUGAAUGGCAGUCACCUGAGCUUUGCUCAGAGUAAACCCAUUGAAAUCAAUGGACCUAACUUAGUUGUACUGAUUAAUUUCAAUGAGUGAAACUCAAGUUGGAGACCAACUCACCAGCUGCUCUUUGCACAGAGCACCCAAGGUUUUUGUUUUAGUGUGCGGUCACACGGAAAAUGUGAAGCUGGGAAAAUGCGCCACUUGAGAACAGACAGUGUGUUAUUUGAAAAACGGAAGAUGCACAGUAGGUGUGUAUGUUUAUCAAGCACUUACAUCAGGGCAGAAGGUGCUCCAUUUCCAUGCUGAAAACAAACUGCCCAGACAAUAUUAAAAACGUAUUAAAGCACUUCCGUCUUCACCUUGGGGCAGGUAGCACUUCACUGCAUCCUUGCAAACAGCCGUAAAGGCACUACUCUUUUUGUGCCUGUUCAUUAUUGAACUAAGGCAGAAUCAUAAAUCUCUCUAUAUUAGAGGAGAACCACUGCCUCCGAUGGAGAAAUUGCCACGGAUACAGGGUGUAAGCAAAGAGCAAGGCGUGCUUUUGUGAUCGUUCACAUUUUUUUAAAAAAAAUAUUCGUGUGGGGUGUCUGAAGGGGAACUUGUUCAGUUGGGAAAUCUGCUUAAAAUGCAAUCCCCCAAGAGCUUCUCUCAGUCCACACUGUUAAUAAAUAUCUCCCUCUCUUCUUCCUCACUUAAUUCACAGAUAGUAGCACCUUAUUUGUCUUUAAAUGCCUGCAGAAGCCGCUGCCUAAUAUAUUCUCCAUAUCAAUUCCCUUCCUGCAAAUCUGUACAAUUUUGUUAGGAAACUGAUGCUGUUGUCCAUAAGGUUGUCUCCGUAACAACGCAAAGUUAUCAUUAAGACUGGGCUGAAUCCCCCAAAUUUAACCAUUCAUCUCUGCAAAAACUCUGCAUUAAUUUAUUUCAUCUUGAGCCCUUCAGAGACCCUAUUCUCGCAGAGCUUCAGUUCCCAGAAUUCCCUGGGAAGAGAGAUUGACUGUUCAGCCACUCUGGGAAUUGUAGUGAGGAUAACAGGGGGGUCUCAUUACACCUCUCAGCAUCCUUAACAAACUACAUCUCCCAGGAUUCCUUGGGGGAAGCCAAGACAGCUUAAGGUGGUAUGAUACUGAUUAAAAGUCUGGUGCAGAUGGGGCCUAAGUUCUAACAAAUGAUAUUACAGGAUAAUUUCAUUUCCCCCCUGGUAUAUUUUUAACCAAAGCGAAAGAUAGGAGGGGAUCCUUUUUACUUUUCAAGCAGCUUUGAGCCUUCUGCAACAGAGUAAUUCAACAUGGCACCAAGAUGGCAGAAGAAAACCUUGUAGAACAAUCCUGUACACACACACCCUUGCUGAUCGGAAGGUGGGCGGUUCGAAUCCCCGCGACGGGGUGAGCUCCCGUUGCUCGGUCCCUGCUCCUGCCAACCUAGCAGUUUGAAAGCACACCAGUGCAAGUAGAUAAAUAGGAACCGCUCCAGCGGGAAGGUAAACGGCGUUUCCGUGCACUGCUCUGGUUUUGCAAGAAGUGGCUUAGUCAUGCUGGCCACAUGACCCAUAAAAACUGUCUGCGAACCAACAUCGGCUCCCUCGGCCAGUAAAGUGAGAUGAGCGCUGCAACCCCAGAGUCAUUCACGACUGGACUUAACUGUCAGGGGUCCCUUUACCUUUACCUUUUUUAGGCCCCGUUGUGGUUGGUGUAGCUUGCUCCCAAGUAGAUGUGUGUGAUGUGGUGGUGAGAAUGUCAGACUAGGACCUGGGAGACCAGGGUUCAAAUCCCCCCACUCAGCCACUGGGCGACCGUGGGCCAGUCGCUGCCUCCAGCCUUGCCUACCUCACAGGGCUGUUUUAGGGAUUAAAUGAGGAGGGGGACGAACUAUGUGCAUUCCACUGAGCUCUUAAGGUAAAAAGGUUGGGGUAUAAAAUAAAUAAAUAAAUUGCAUAAUGACUUGAUGGUUGGGUUGCCUGCUUCUCGUUGCAUCGUUGAUUCGUAGUCAUAGAAUCAUAGAAUUGUGGAGUUGAAGGAGACCCCCGAAGGUCAUCUAGUCGAACCCCCUGCAGCGCAGGAAUAUUUCACCUGAACCCACAACCCUGAGAUUAAGAGUCUCAUGCUCUACUGACUGUGUUAUCUCGUAUAAGCAAGGUGAUUGUUUGUUUUUGCUUAUGUUUAUAUUGUAAUUUUAUGUCAUGAAGUGCUCUGAGAUCUACGGGUCCAGGGCAGUAUACAAAUUUAAUUAAUUAAUUAAUUAAUUAAUAAUAAUAUACCGUAUUUUUCGCUCUAUAAGACGCACCAGACCACAAGACACACCUAGUUUUUGGAGGAGGAAAACAAGAAAAAAAAUAUUCUGAAUCUCAGAAGCCAGAACAGCAAGAGGGAUUGCUGCUUUCACUGCGCAGCGAUCCCUCUUGCUGUUCUGGCUUCUGGGAUAGCUGCGCAGCCUGCAUUCACUCCAUAAGACGCACACACAUUUCCCCUUACUUUUUAGGAGGGAAAAAGUGAGUCUUAUAGAGCAAAAAAUACGGUACAUUGUUUUGAGUUAUUUAUUAUACUUACUGAACUCUUUUCUAUUAGGAACUGUUUUUCAUCCUGAUGGUUCCUUAUUGCUGUGAGCUGCUUUGAACAUGCACACGCUUAAUCAAAAUCAAACGAUCCAUACAUUGCGAGGCGCUUUGAGACUCUUUGACGUCAAAAGCGAGGAAUAAAUUUAAUAAUAAUAUGCUGUUAAAGCAGGGGUCAGCAACCUUUUUCAGCCGUGGGCAGGUCCACCGUCCCUCAGACCAUGCGGUGGGCCGGACUAUAUUUUGAAAAAAAAUAUAUGAACGAAUUCCUAUGCCCCACAAAUAACCCAGAGAUGCAUUUUAAAUAAAAGGACACAUUCUACUCAUGUAAAAACAUGCUGAUUCCCGGAUCGUCCAUGGGCCAGAUUUAGAAGGUGAUUGGGUGGUUGCCAAUUUUGCCUUUCCAUUGUUCUGGAGCCAUGAGCCGAGUGCUUCCAAACAUAUGCAGAGUGCCUUGGGAAUCCCUGUCCGGGGCUCCAUAAACCUCUUGCUUUCCUUUCUGCCUGCAGGUUUUCCAUUUCCCAGCCCUCCAAAUCCAGGCCGCCUCAUCUGCAUAUUUUGCAAAUUGGUUGCUAAUUAUGCAAAUCAAGCUCACUGGCCGUGCAUAUUCUGCCAGUUUCUCCUGGCAACCACCUUGAAUGUUUAGGGAGCGAAAGGGGCAGGAAGAGUCACAGACCCUCCAAGUCUCCCUAUUUUCCAGGGACAGACCUGGAGUUACAGAAGCUGUCCAGUUUCUGAUCUGAUCCCAGAAUGUCCCGCUUUUCGUUAGGACAUCCCUAGUUUCAUUGAAGAAAUGUUGGCAGGUCCCUGUUUUCGUUGGAGAAGUGUUGGAGGGUAUGGAAUAACAGGGCUCAGCAAACUUUUUCAGCAGGGGGCUGGUCCACUGUCCCUCAGACCCUGUGGGGGGCCGGACUAUAUUUUAGCAAAAAAAAGGAGAACAAAUUCCUAUUCCCUGCAAAUAACCCAGAGAUGCAUUUUAGAUAAAAGCACACAUUCUACUCAUGUAAAAACAUAAGGCAGACCCCACAAAUAACCCAGAGGUGCAUUUUAAAUAAAAAGACACAUUCUACUCAUGUGAAAACAGGCUGAUUCCUGGACUGUCCACGGGCCAGAUAGAGAAGGCAAUUGGGCCGGAUCCGGCCUCCGGGCCUUAGGUUGCCUACCAAUGGAAUAGGAUGUCCCCAUGGCUUUUUUUCCAGCCAGAACUCAGUUCUGGGACCUCUCAGUUGCCAUCUAAGAGAACAAGGGAGGAAUAAUAAUAAUAAUAAUAAUAAUAAUAAUAAAUUUAUACCCUGCCCAUCUGGCUGGGUUCCCCCAGCCACUCUUGGUGGCUUCCAACAAAAGAUUAAAAAUACAUUAAAGCAUCAGUCAUAAAAAACUUCCUUAAACAGGGCUGCCUUCAGAUGUCUUCUAAAUGUCAGGACCCCCUCCAUGGGUCCUAUUGUCAACUUUUUCAACUGCAUAUUAUUCAUACUUUAUAUUUUAUAUCUAUCCAUAUUGUCCAUAGUAUUUGUUACAUUACAAGCGAGAUUAAAAUCCUGCUAGUGUUUUCAUCUGCUUACAGUGGUCUCCUAGAUAAAUUGUAAUUUUCCCCCAUUAUUUCUUGAAGUUUUUAUCUUCUUGAUCUCUGAGCUUUCCAAUCAUUUUUGCCAUUUCAGCGUAGCCGAUCAGCUUGGUUUGCCAUUCCUUUCUGGUAGGGGCCCUUUCUUCUUCCCAUCUCUGGGCUAAUAGCAUCCAUGCUGCUGUUGUCGUGUACAUAAAAAGCCUUUUCUGUUCCUUUGGGAUAUUGGUACCUACAAUUCCUAAUAAGAAAACUUCUGGUUUUGUUUUGUUUUUACAAAAGUUAUAUUAAACAUUUCUUUAGUUCAUUAUAUAUCAUUUCCCAGAAAGCCUUUAUUGCCUUACAGGACCACCACAUAUAAUAAAAGGUGCCUUCUUUUUCUUUACAUUUCCAACAGAUAUUUGUACUUGUUUUAUACAUUUUUGCUAACUUACUGGGAGUCAAAUACCAUCGGUACAUCAUUUUCAUAUAAUUUUCUCUCAACGUACAACACACCAAGAAUUUCAAAUCAGUUUUCCAUAACCUGAAAACAGUAUAAACAAUAAGUUGUUGUUGUUGGCUGAUUUCUGCCCAGAUGUUGCUGAUGAAUGUGGCAUUCUGGAUAUGUCCAGGAAAUUCCAGACAUAUCGCAAUCCUCUAUAAAAGUAAAUGGUGAGGACAUUUCUCUUGAUUGCUGCCGUUAACGCUCCCAAACGCUAUGUGGAAUAUUAUGUAUACUCUCUAUUUAUCUGUGUAGUUCUUGCCUAUUCACUUUUUCCUCUGGCUGGUUUGUCCUUUCCCUCCUUUUUGUUAAUGGCAAGGCUUAAUAAACAGCUGUCAAGAGCGCAUUAACGGGGAGAGAAACCCCUUCAUUCUGCUGUGUUGGACAAAAGGAAAUUAAACCCCGGAGCGGGGCAAAGGGAGCUUUUAAUAUCUGCAUGUCGAACAGCUUCCUUUGCCAUUUGCGAGAUCACGCAAGCCUGUCUGAGCUCUGCAGACUCAGAGAGGAAAUACUUCAGUUGAAAGCUGGAAGGUGGUCUGAGGCCUCACAGUCUCUCCAGGCACAAAGUGCCACGAGUUCGAGACCCCUCUUUUGUUGAUUCAUUUACUUGUCACACUUGGACGCCACUUUGAUGCCCACUCUUUGCAAAGCCCAGACCAGGAGGUCAGAAAGCCGGCCUGCGACUGUUCGGCGUGACCCCUUGUCAAACUCAAGCCCGUCUCCUCCAAUUAUCACCAUACAGAUCCCGGUUAAUUGGCGCUGGGGUAAACAUGGGCAUCUGAAAACAGCAAGUUGCUAUCUCUUAUGACUGUGAAAAUAUUGCCGUGCGCUCCCCAUGCCUUUGAUCACAUAGGGGUUGCAGAUUCCCAAGGUGGUUGUCGUUGUUGUAAUUAAUUAUUAUAUUUAUUUGUAGUCCACAUUUUCCCCAGACCGGGACUUGUUGUGGCUUACGCAAAUUGAAAACGCGCAGAUAAAACACAAAAAAGCUCGAAACAUAUAAAAGAUGAUCAUUAAAAAGUAAUUAAACACUAAUAGAAGUAUAAGAAUAAAACAUCUAUUAAACACAGAUAAUAAAAACAGCACAGCGCUAUUAAUGGCCUUUCUUUUUCUUUUCUUUUUUAAAAAAGGCAGCUCCCCAAAGCCUGCUGGAACAAGGAAAAAGUAAGCCCUCACCUGCUAGUGGUACCUCAGGUUAAGAACUUAAUUCGUUCCGGAGGUCCGUCUUAACCUGAAACUGUUCUUAAUCUGAGGUACCACUUUAGCUAAUGGGGCCUCAUGCUGCCGCCACGCAAUUUCUUUUCUCAUCCUGAAGCAAAGUUCUUAACCCGAGGUACUAUUUCUGGCUUAGCAGAGUCUGUAACCUGAAGCGUCUGUAACCUGAAGCAUCUGUAACCCGAGGUACCGCUGUACAAUGCACUGCCAAAUUUAGUGAUAACAGAAUUGUGGGAAGUGAUCCAUGAGAGGCAGUCAAGUACAACAUUCCUUGUAAUGCUAGAGAAGACAUGUGAGGGAAUGUUUGGUCCAACCAGUCGAAACUUCCUGUUCCUCCUGGCUGGAGCAUCCUUCCUUUUGCAUGUGAUAGAAGGUGGGCGUGUCCUAACCUGUCCAGGUAACGAAAGGACGAAUCAUGCAGCACACCUCUCUCUCUUUGACUUCCUUCUUCGUUGGACCAGCUUUUAGGUAGGACUGCUCUGCUAGCUCCCAGUUAGCAGAAGCACUGGGAUUGUUCCCCCAUAUGGGGUAGAUCCACAUGUACAUAUUUGUACAGUGGACGCUCGGGUUGCGAACGUGAUCCGUGUGGGGUUUAGUGCUUCUGCACAUGCAUGAGCGCCAAAACCCAGAAGUAACCUGUUCUGGUACUUCCGAGUUUCGAUGCGUCCGUAACCCAAAAACGUGCAACCUAAAGCGUCUGUAACCCGAGGUAUGACUGUAACUGAGUCUGCCUCCAGGGAUCCAACUGUGAACUGAUGUGAGUAAACUUCUUUUAUUGACUUUGAAUAAGAUUGUCACAUCUUUUUUUUCUUUUAAGAGGGAUUCAAGGGAACUUACCAGGAACAUACAAUUCAAUCUGAGACAGAUUGAAUUGUAUAAUAGUGAGAGGCUCACACGAGCCUGCAACCAGCUAUCUGCUGUGUAUAUAAAAGGGGUGUGUGUAACUCUGCUACAUAAAGGAACUUGCUAGCGCAAGUUAGGAAGGAUACUAAUAAACAAUAUAUCCUCUCCUUCCACCCUGAGCAUUCCCACAAUAAUCUUUGAGAAUUCUUGGAGAACAGGUGAGGUCCCUAUGGACUGGAGGUGGGCAAAUAUUGUCCUCAUCUUCAAGAAGGAGGAAAAAGAAGAUGCAGGUAACGACCGACUGGUGAGCUUGAUAUUGAUACCAGGAAAGGUUCUAGAGCAGAUCUGUGUUGGCCUGGGAUUCGGACUCAGAGGCUGAACCUGAGGAAUCCCAGCCUGCACAGGAUUCCCCGCCUCCAGAACCAGCUGAGCCGGGGCUGGGGCUUGAGCCUGAAGGGUCCUCACCUGUGUUGGAUCCUCAGGUGCAGGCACCAGCUGAGUCUGCUCUGGCUCCUGAGGUGAUGGAGGACCCACUGCCUGCAGGUGCUCCACUCUCAGCCCCGUCAGGGGAAGCUGAGGUUGCCUCUGGGUCCAGUAACCCUCCAGCCUCUCCUGAGCUGCAGAGGCUCAGGGCAGAGAGGCGAAGGGAACUAAGUUCCCGCAGGAGGAGUGCUCGCCUCCAGGCCAGGAGAGGCAAGUCACCUGUGGACCGGGGCCACCCUAUGCCUCGGUGCAGAUAAAAGCUGGCCAGCCCCAGUCCCUGGUUGCAGGAGAAAUGUUGUUGGUAGCCAGUUCCUGCCUGAACCCUGUCCUGCCGGAUCUCCUGACCUCAUCCGACUCCCUGCCUUGGACCCAGCUUCAACUUUGACAGACAGCUUCAAUACAGCACCCUCGACCUCGGACUGAACUCGGACCACGCCUCAUGGAAACCCACGGGACCAGCACAAGAUCAUUCAACUGUUGGGUGGAAUCUAGACACAUAUAGAAAACACUGUCAAAAUGCUUUAAAAAAAACACAUUUUGAAAAAUAUAUUGAAAUUGCCCUAAGCUCACCAUUGCCAUCUAGUGUCACAUUUGUAUAAUGCACUUAAAAUGUUAUAUUUGCAGCUGUAUAGCUGAGUCUUUGGUCUGUGAGCACUUAGAAAAGGAUGCUGUGAUUUCUAAGACCUAGCAUGGCUUUCUCAGAAACAGGUCACACCAGACGAAUCUCAUGUCUUUUGUUUCGUUUUGGUUUUGGAUAGAGUUACAAGCCGGGUAGAUUAGGGGAAUGCUGUGGACAUAGCGUAUCUUGAUUUCAGUAAGACUUUUGACAAAGUCCCCAUGAUAUUCUGGUGAGGAAGCUGUUAAAAUGUGGGCUGGACAAGGUAGCUGUUAGGUGGAUUUGUAGCUGGUUGACUGGCUGAAAAAAAAGAGGACUCAUUAAUGGUUCCUCAUUAUCCUGGAAAAAGACUGACAAAUUGGGAGUUUUUGCGGGAGGGCAUAGAUGAAGAAGAUAAAAUCUAUCCCUUCUUAAGGAAAUCAGCCCUGAGUGCUCACUGGAAGGACAGAUCCUGAAGCUGAGGCUCCAAAACUUUGGCCACCUCAUGAGAAGAGAAGACUCCCUGGAAAAGACCCUGAUGCUGGGAAAGAUGGAGGGCACAAGGAGAAGGGGACGACAGAGGACGAGAUGGUUGGACAGUGUUCUCGAAGCUACCAGCAUGAGUCUGGCCAAACUGUGGGAGGCAGUGGAAGACAGGAGUGCCUGGCGUGCUCUGGUCCAGGGGGUCACAAAGAGUCAGACACGACUAAACGACUAAACAACAACAACACAGAUAAAAAUUAGAACUGCUAAAAAACAUAGGGAAAAACUACAAUAAAAAACUAUUAAACAUUGAUAGGAUUAAAGCUAUAAAUAUACAUAGAUAGGAACCCUGGGAAGUAAAGGAUAUACUGCAACAGUUUGUUGCAGAUCUGCCUCCUUGUCUAACAAUUUCUUCAACCAGUGGGGGGGGGGGGACACCACUGGGGUUUUCUGCCCAGGGCACUACCAUCUUAGUAUCUACUUGCCUGCUUAAGUCUCAGCCGUGCGGUAACUCCUGAUAAGCAAUAAGAGUAAAAUAUAAACAUCAUCGGCUUCAUUUUUUAAAUUAUUUUUUUGCCUGAGCUUUGUCUGAAAUGCCUGCAUUUUAAUAACCCAUAUCCUUGUCCAAAAGAGAGAGGAAUCAACAGCCCCUCAAGCCUUCUCUUUUCCUGCAAAGGGUCAUUAAGAUGCUUGCAUCUUCGCUGCUCAGUCGGGCAACGUCAGCGAGCCAUUGAUAGGAUCACAAUUAAAUAAAGGAGGCUCGCCUCAGCGCUUGCUGUUUAGAAGAGUAUAACUUGCCGUAUCACCAGCCGAUAAAUGCAUCGCCAUGUCUUGCCAGGACUGACAGAUCUCCUUCUCUUGCUUCAGACAGAUGUAUAAAUAAACAGAGCUGAUAAUCAGCAACAAGAGCCAGGAGCCCGUAAUAACCUCUCAGCAGUUUCCACCGGGAAAAGCGUGCUAUCUGUGAAAACACCGUGCUUAUGAAUUUAGCAAAAUCAGAUAGCACCGCGGCUGAUGACUGACUGCUCUUUCAUCCUGGCCUUGGAAUCUAUUUCCGGGAGCAUUCGCCUCUGUAGAGCGGGAUGGUACGCUGCAGCUCAACACAACAGUGGAUUAUGGAACAUGGAGUAGACCCAGCGUUGUAGCGUGUUCCAAGUGCCCAAGCCAAGCCCUGACGCUCAGGAAACCCCCCCUGAGAAUUGCCAAAAAGAAAAAUGCACCAGAAAAGCAUAUUGUAUAAUAACUCUUGCUUGUAGGUUCCAGAAACUGUUGCAGGAAAAAAAAAAUCUGUGUGAAGUCGCACUGCAGCAAAGGAUUUGUAGUACACUGCAAUUGCAUCUUACACACAUUUAACCUGCGCGACUUCAACCAUAUGUGGGUGAAGGCUGCUCAUUGAAAUCCCGCGAAGAAAAUGGAGAGCUUAACAGCUCUUUUUGUGCUGGGUUUGGCAAGGGGGCAGUUCCGAGGCCGUACUGUGUUUUAUAUAGGAUCUGUGGCAUUUGAUAUCAGUGGCAUAGCAUGGGGACCACGGGGCAGUUACCCCAGGCACAAAAUUGUUAGGAGUGCAAAAUUUCAACACCCAUUGCUGCCUUAAUACAGCUUUGUGCUUCUGUCUCUGGACUCUGUUGAAAACGGCUUCUCCAUGUGAACCAGGAAGUGACUUCUCAAGACACAGGAACUACUCCUUUUCUUACCUCUGCAGCUGAAAUCUCUUGGGCAUGGGUAGGCAAGCUAAGGCCCUUCUCAAUCCGGCCCCCGGACGGUCCGGGAAUCAGCAUGUUUUUACAUGAGUAGAAUGUGUCCUUGUAUUUAAAAUGCAUCUCUGGGUUAUUUUGGGGGCAUAGGAAUUCGUUCAUCCCCCCCCUUCAAAAUAUAGUCCGGCCCCCCACAAGGUCUAAGGGACAGUGGACCAGCCCCCUGCUGAAAAAGGUUGCUGACCCCUGCUCUUGGGCAAUGUGGACACCAUUAGGCAGUUGAAUGUGCAUGCUUACUCCAGCCGUUUCUCUCCACCCCACUCUCAUGUGCAUAGCUCUGGGUAUUGGCAACCCACGCUAUGCCACUGUUUUAUACCGUGAAAUACUGUGCACUUUCUUCUUAUGGGGUUGAGACCCAAGUUCAGAAAACAAAUAUACUAUAACUUCUUUGCCAUGUUCCUGAUGAUGCAAGACAUAACCAGGGACAAGGACAUGGCCUGCAGCAAGCUUUCCCCUGUAACUGGCAUGUUUACCUGCAAGCAUGUUUACUUGCAGAUAAUCGCCUCCGCCUGCUAUUUUAAAGAGAAAGCUGGCACACCUCCCUGCGAGCAGAUUUGAUUUUCCAGCCAGCAACCCGGCUUCUCAUAUCAAGCAGCAGGCUAUCUGCAAACAGUUCCCCCCUUGCAGGGAAGGCCCAGCAGUAGAGCAUCUGCUUUGCAUGCAAAAAAAGUCCCAGAUUCAAUUCUUUGCAUCUCCCAGCAGGGCUGGGAUAGGGCUCCUGUCUAAAAUGCAGGACAGUCAGUUUAGACAGCAAAAUGGACCAGUGAUCUGCCUUGAGUGUCGGGAGGCUGGUGUCUCUGAUUCGCAAGCAUCUCUCCUGGUGCUGACUCUUCUGAACAGGAACCCCUGAGGUGGAAUCUUUGUUGUUUAGUCGUUUAGUCGUGUCCGACUCUUUGUGAGCCCCUGGACCAGAGCACGCCAGGCACUCCUGUCUUCCACUGCAUCCCGCAGUUUGUUCAAACUCAUGCUGGUAGCUUAGAGAACACUGUCCCACCAUCUCGUCCUCCGUCAUCCCCUUCUCCUUGUGCCCUCCAUCUUUCCCAACAUCAGGGUCUUUUCCAGGGAGUCUUCUCUUAUCAUGAGGUGGCCAAAGUCUUGGAGCCUCAGCUUCAGGAUCUGUCCUUCCAGUGAGCACUCAGGGCUGAUUUCCUUCAGAAUGGAGAGGUUUGAUCUUCUUGCAGUCCAUGGGACUCUCAAGAGUCUCCUCCAGCACCAUAAUUCAAAAGCAUCAAUUCUUCGGCGAUCAGCCUUCUUUAUGGUCCAGCUCUCACUUCCAUACAUCACUACUGGGAAAACCAUAGCUUUAACUAUAUGGACCUUUGUCGGCAAGGUGAUGUCUCUGCUUUUUAAGAUGCUGAUCAUUGCAAUAAAAACAUCACAGCUCCAGCUCUUUUCUUAAAAUGCAGUCAGCUCCCUGCUGGAAAAAGAAAGUUUUCACCUGCCCCUUCGCCGGCAAGGCAGUGAUCCAUGAGGGGGGAGGUGGAAUCUACAGGCCUGAAAUGCUAAACGUAUGGACAUCAGAAGUGCUUGCAGGAUCCAGCUUGCAGGAUCUAGCCUAUUGAUUUGAUCCAGUCUGUCCUUAUGCAUUUAGCUGGGGAUAAAUGGUAAGACUCCUUCAUGGAUCACUGCCUUGCCGUGGCGAAGGGGCUUGAAUAACUCAGAGAAGCUAUGAGCUAUGCCUUGCAGGGUCACCCAAGACGGGCAGGUCAUAGUGGAGAGUUUUGACCAAACGUGAACCACCUGGAGCAGGAACCGGCAAGCCACUCCAGUAUCCCUGCCAAGAAAACUCCAUGGACAAAGACAACAGGCAUAUAAAAGUUAUGACGCUGGAAGAUGAGCCCCUCAGGUUAAAAGGCGUCCAACAUAUUACUGAGGAAGAGCAGAGGACAAGUGCAAGUAGAUUCAGAGCUGAUGAAGCGGCUGGGCCAAAGCCGAAAGUUCUCUCAGUUGUGGAUAUGCCUGGAAGCGAAAGGAAAGUCCAAUGCUGUAAAGAAAAAUAUUGUAUAGGAACCUGGAAUGAAGAACCAUGGACCUUGGUAAGCUAGAUGUGGUCAAAAUGAGAUGGCAAGAAUAAAUAUUGACAUCCUGGGAUCAGUGAACUAAAAUGGACGGGAAUGGGCGAAUUCAGUUCGGAUGACCAUCACAUCUACUGAAGACAGGAGUGCCUGGCGUGCUCUGGUCCAUGGGGUCACGAAGAGUCGGACAUGACUAAAUGACUAAACCACAACAAGUGGUAAGAAGAGAACAGGAAAAAAUGGGCAAGAGUGGAGUGGGGUGUAAGGACACCCAGCAAAGUUCUGAUUUUGCUCAUGAUUAUAAUCAUCAUCAUCAUCAUUUUUGCAUGUGUCCCCUGCUUGCUGUGUCCCCUCACCUCAUGAAGGUGCUUAGUUUGUUUCCUGGGUAAUCGAACAUUGCCUCGGGGGCACAUGAGCCCUUUUUGAACAGUCACUUCCUCCCUCCACAGAUGGCUCAUUCUGUAGAGCACAAGACUCUUAAUCUCAGGGUUGUGGGUUCGAGACCCACACUGGGCAAAACAUUCCUGAUCUGCAGGGGGCUGGACUAGAUGGCCCUCGUGGUCCCUCCCAUCUCUACAAUCCUUUGAUUCUAUGGUUCCUUCUUUGCCAGUCAGGGGCGGGCAUCUCAUGCCCACCAAAGCUUGGAGGUCAUCUCAAGAAUCCUUAUCUGAUGCCCCUGAGACAAGGAGUCCUGGCAGCCUUCCUGCAAUUCCCCAGCCCCUCCAAUUAAAGAUAAGGGGGCUCAGCGAUUGCUGCAUCCCCAGGCAUAAUGAUGUUGCCAUUGUUUUUCCCCUUAAAAGAAGAAGAGAGGGUUUCUUUUUCUCAAGUUGACCUUCGAGUGCUGAUUGAAUAGCAAUGCAAAAAAAGGCGGCUGAACAGAAUAAAACCCGUUCUGCUUUGACACACAGCUAGUAGUUAAUUUGCAAAAGGAGAAGUGCGGGAGAAGUCCAGCAGCCCCAAAUCAGCACCCCCGACCCAGGAACCCCAACCUCUUUAUGGGGGAGAAAUUCAAUGCAUUUUGCAUUUUAUCGGCGAACUACCAAAUCCGCAAUUUCCAAAGUGAUACAUGAGCCGUAACAAAGCUGUCCUUUGAAACUUGCACUUCUCCGAAUGGUGCAAUGCAAUUCUCGUUACAAGCAAGAUGUGCAAAAAUAAAUACACUGGGGUAAAGUGUGCCUAAAAAUGCAUAUGUUAGUGAGAAACCCAUGAUGUUAGGGGAAAUUGCUUUGCAAAGAUGUGCAUUAUGUUAGGAGAAAUCGCAUACCAACGUUUGCAUAUCAAGAUGAAUUUGCAGGUGAAUUUUCAUGUAAAGGUAAAGGCACCCCUGACCAUUAGGUUCAGUCGUCAUCAACUCUGGGGUUGCGGCGCUCAUCUUGCUUUAUUGGCUGAGGGAGCCGGCGUACAGCUUCCGGGUCAUGUGGUCAGCAUGACUAAGCCGCUUCUGGCGAACCAGAGCAGCGCACGGAAACGCCGUUUACCUUCCCGCCGGAGUGGUACCUAUUGAUCUACUUGCACUUUGACGUGCUUUCGAACUGCUAGGUUGGCAGGAGCAGGGACCGAGCAACGGGAGCUCACCCCGUCGCGGGGAUUCGAACUGCAGACCUUCUGAUCUAGACUCUGUGGUUUAACCCACAGCGCCACCCACGUCCCUUGAAUUUUCAUGAGGACUUUAAACAGUGAUAAUGUUACAAAAGUUGAGUGCUUCCCCCUCUCCCCGCCAAUCGGUGGCAAGAACCCGUGGGGUUCCAGGCACUCACUGAGGGUCUGUGGUCCUUUGGAGAAUUGAGACACAGCGGAGACUGUCACAGCUUUAAGAAAUAUGGUUUAUUCGCCUAUUUACACCUUUAGUCUGCAUGGAGGGAGUCCAGAUCUUGCAGCGUGGUCAUAUUAAGAGGGUCUUGCUCCCCACAGCAGUUCAGCCAUGGAGUCCAAGGCAUCUCUGCCAGCCAGCCUGCAGCCAGCCUGCCCAAGAUGGAUCCCAGUCUUUCUUCUCUCCCCUUCUUCUUCCCAGCACACCUUGCUAAAAACUCUUUCCCCCUGUCCCUUCAAACACACACCUCAUCAGCAUGUCAACACCUGUCUACCCAGGUCAAAGGAUUCUUCUCAGAUAGCCCACCAACCCCUUUUGUCAUGUUAACAGAUUUACUCUGGUGCUGGAGGAGACUCUUGAGAGUCCCAUGGACUGCAAGAAGAUCAAACCUCUCCAUUCUGAAGGAAAUCAGCCCUGAGUGCUCACUGGAAGGACAGAUCCUGAAGCUGAGGCUCUAAUACUUUGGCCACCUCAUGAGAAGAGAAGACUCUCUGGAAAAGACCCUGAUGUUGGGAAAGAUGGAGGGCACAAGGAGAAGGGGACGACAGAGGACGAGAUGGUGGGACAGUGUUCUCGAAGCUACCAGCAUGAGUUUGACCAAACUGCGCGAGGCAAUGGAAGACAGGCGUGCCUGGCGUGCUCUGGUCCAGGGGGUCAUGAAGAGUUGGACAUGACUAAACAACAACAACUAAACAACAACAAGUCCAGCCAGGCUGGUUUAAACAAGGAAGCCCAGGGAUUCCUUGUCUGGCAAAGCUCUGCAGCUUGUACCUCCAUCCAUAUCCCAAUUAAUCAAAAUCCCCAUUUAUUAAUUCCUAGUGUUUAGGGCGGUCCCUCCAAAUCUAUACUACUACUACUACUAAUAAUAAUAAUUUAUUAUUUGCACCCCGCCCAUCUGACUCGGUUUCCCCAGGCACUCUGGGCGGUUUCCAACAAAAUAUUAAAAUACAGUAAUGCAUCAAACAUUAAAAGCUUCCCUAAAGAGGGCUGCCUUCAGAUGUCUUCUAAAAGUCUGGUAGUUGUUCUCUUUGACAUCUGGUGGGAGGGCGUUCCACAGGGCGGACGCCACCACCGAGAAGGCCCUCUGCCUGGUUCCCUGUAACUUCUCUUCUCGCAGUGAGGGAACUGUUUCUGCAAGAAACAGAUGCCAGAACAUGGAGAACUGAACUUAAGAUGGGGGUAAACGAGGAACUGAGAGAAAUUGGAAUUCACAAGUCCUUAUCCAAACCCUUAGAUGUCCACGGGCUGGGUGUAGAAUCUUAAAAAGGAAUGGCACUCCACACAUGCUCAGAGGCUAUCUCUUUCCUGAGACAGAUAGAUAUAAAGACUGCCAAGUCACAAGAAGAAGGGUUUUGAUUGGGAAGACUACCCUGAUGUUAAGAGUUCUUCGACCAUGGAGGAGACUGAGGAGAUGGACUUUUCUUCACUAGAGGUUUUCAAGUAAAGACAGGAUGGCUCUCUGUCUAGAUCUCCUGCCCUGGAAAGCGGUUGGAUUGGUCCCAACACUAGGAUUCUAUGAAAGGAACGGCAUACUUUAACUAUGGAACUCUCUGCCACUGGAGACCAGGGAGAGCCACCAACGUGGAUGGCUUUAAAAGAGGAUUGGAGAAAUUCAUGCAGGAGAGGGCCAUCAGCGGCUCUUGGGCACAAUGGCUAUGUUCUUCCUUUGCAGUUGGAGGCACCAAUGCUUCUGCGCUGGGAACCACAGAAGGGGAGAGGGCUCUGUGUUCGAAUCCUGUUUCCAGGUUUCCCACAGGCUGGGAGAAUGGGAUGUGGGACUAGAUGGGCCAUUGUUCUGAUUCAGCAGGCUCCUCCUAUGUUCUUAUGAGGGGCAUGAGUUUCCCGGCCCCUAUCCCAGCUUUUUCGGGGAAGGAAACCCUUAGCGAGAACAUGGCAGCUUCACGUUCUCCUUCCAUUCAUGUCUUUGCAAAAGUUACAAGCGCAGAGGCUGUCAGGGAGCAAGCGAGGCUCAGAUAGAAACGCGAUAAAGCGCUCCGACGUCUUUCUUCCGGGUGACCUCGAUUUCCAUAAAACAGCAUUUCUGCGAUGACAGCAGAAUACUAAGUCGUCCACAGAGGAGCCAUUCCACGACGGGAGUCUUCUGCUCGGGAUUAGUGGUACAAUUCUGCUUGCCUGUCCAAAGUCACUUUUCAAGUACUGGGUGUUGCGAGGAGAACAAACGUGAACCACCAGGUUAUUCUGACUUUACCGCAUUCACCCCCACACCUUUAACUCAACCUCAGCUUGUCCGAUACAAGCACAUUUUUGAAGAUCACAGUCCAAAUUACGGAUGAACCGAGCAACCUAAGAAAAGGUAAAAGGUAAAGGACCCCUGGAUGGUUAAGUCCAGUCAAAGGCAACUGUGGGGUUGCGGCGCUCAUCUUGCUUUCAGGCCAAGGGAGCUGGCGUUUGUCCACAGACAACUUUCUGGAUCAUGUGGCCAGCAUGACUAAACCGCUUCUGGCACAACAGGACACUGUGACAGAAACCAAAGUGCACAGAAACGCCAUUUACCUUUCUGCUGCAGUGGUACCUAUUUAUCUACUAGCGCUGGUGUGCUUUUGAACUGCUAGGUUGGCAGGAGCUGGGACUGAGCAAUGGGAGCUCACCCCACCGCGGCGCUUAAUCCCAACUAAAUGCAUAAGGACUGACUGGAUCAAGUCAAUAGGCUAGAUCCAUAGCUGUCAACUUUUCCCUUUUCUUGCGAGGAAUCUUAUUCAGAAUAAGGGAAUUUCCCUUAAAAAAAGGGAAAAGUUGACAGCUAUGGCUGGAUCCUGCAAGAAGGAUCCUGCAAGCACUUCUGAUGUCUAUACAUUUAGCAUUUCAGGACUGUAGAUUCCACCUCGGGCGUUCCUGUUCAGAGGAGUCAGCACCAGGAGAGCUUAUGGAGCAGGAGGUAAGUACAGCUUACAUCCAAGUCCUGCUUGUGGAUCAGAGACACCGGCCUUCCGACACUCAAGGCAGAUCAUUGGUCCAUUUAGCUGUCUAAACUGACUGUCCUGCGUUUUAGACAGGAGCCCUAUUUAUCUACUUGCACAUUGACGUGCUUCUGGGGCAACAGGACACCAUGACGGAAACCAGAGUGCACAGAAAUGCCAUUUACCUUCCCGCCGCAGUGGUACCUAUUUAUCUACUUGCGCUGGUGUGCUUUUGAACUGCUAGGUUGGCAGGAGCAGGGACCGAGCAACGGGAGCUCACCCCGUCGCGGGGAUUCGAACCGCCGACCUUCUGAUCGGCAAGCCCAAGAGGCUCAGUGGUUUAGACCACAGCGCCACCUGUGUCCCUGCCUAAGUACCCCCUCGCAGUCUCGCUGCCCUCCCCUGUUCUGUGCAGAUUUUAUUUUUUAUUUUGAAAUAAUGCACUGGGCGGGAGAGAACCACUUUUCAGUUGUACGUUUCUCAAGUAAGCAUUACUAAGAGUAGUCCCAUGGCCAUUCCUGAACCAGUCGUAGAAUCAUAGAAUUGUUGAGUUGAAAGGGACCACCAGGGUCAUCUAGUCCAGCCCUCUGCAAGUCAGAAAUCUUUCGCCUGAUGUGGGGUUCAAACCCACAAUCCUGAGAUCAAGAGUCGCAUGCUCUACCGACUGAGCUAUUCCUCUCUUCGUCAUUGCCAUCAAUUUCAAUGGGUGUACUCUGAGUUAGACUGAGUUCAUUCAUUGCAUUUAUAUAUUUCUCUCUCUACAAGGAGCUCAAGGUGGUGUCCAUGAUUCUCCCUUCCUCAUUUAAUCCGCACAACAACCCUGUGAGGAAGGUUAGGCUGAGAGGCAAUGACUGCCCCAAGGUCACACCCAGUGAAUGUUUCAUGGCCUAGUGGUGGGAUUCAAACCUUGGUCUCCCAGUUCAUAGUUGGACGCUCUAACCACUGUGCCACACUGCCAGUUGACUAGCACCCUGUGCAUUUUGUAUAAAGGUGUUGGAGAAUUCCUACAGAAAUGGAAAAAGGAGCAGAGGUGGCCAAUGGCUUUUCUUUUCAUCUCAUGUCCAGAAUGGAAAUGGAUUCAGCCAUAUUUGCCAUUCCUGCUUUCAGUCUGCAAACAAUACAUAUUUAUUGGAUUUUGGUUUCCCCAUUUCCUUUGCCUUGAAAUGAAUGGUGUGGGAUUAACAUGAUAAUAAAGUCAUUAAUUUCUGUAAUUACUUAUGCAAAAUCCCACCACAACGGGCAGCGGGAUGAAUGCGGGAAGCCAAACUGCAGGAGAACAGAAGCAGGGCCUUUUGUGGUCAGCGCGAGUCCAAACAGAAACCAACGCCCUCUCUGAUGUUGUCUGUACAUUACGUAAAAUAAAUUGCCUUUUUUAAAAAAAACAUGAAAUGCACACACUUCAAUCAGUGGCAGAGCUUCGUGCUCCAGCACCGGGGUGCGGAGAGCAGGUGGGGGCAUGGCUGGCACACGUCCCAGGGGCAUGGCAUGCCGCCCGCAGGGGCAUGGCGCCCAGCACAGGCGGGGGGACAGCCACGAUGGUACCCCACCAGGAUUGCGCUGCCGGGGGCGGUGAGCUCCCCCCCGCUCCCCACUUCCUCUGCCAGUGUCUUCAAUGCUCCUAAAUUCGCCCGUCCAUAAGAUAUGCAUUUUGAGUCAAACACAUAUUUUCAUGCCUAUGUCACACACACUGAAAUGGUAUCAAAAUCUACAGCUGCACAACUCGGCAAGCUGAUUUACUGGGAGCAGCAUAAGAUAAUAAUAAUAAUAAUAAUAAUAAUAAUAAUAAUAAUAAUAAUUGUUAAGUUGUGGGUGAACAUAUCAGACGACACAGCGAUUCUUCAAACAGCUCUUGUUUAUUCACAGGCCGGAACAGAACUCAACUGAAGGGUUCAGUCAGCCUGCUUAUAUAGAGCUCCAGUACAACGUAACUGUAACAAUUUUCUAAAACUAUCCAAUCACUGAAUGUCUCUUUCGAUCCAUUAUUUGCAUAACUAUCUACAGUAUCCCCCUGCUGGCCCAGGGUGAGAACUUCAGAAAAUAAUAAUAAUAAUAAUAAUAAUAAUAAUAAUAAUAAUAAUAUUUAUUUAUAACCCCCCCUCCCCGGCCAGAGCCAGGCUCAGGGCGGCUAACAACAGUAAAAUUACAGUAAAAACAUAAUGGGGGGGGGGGGGGAAACCAAUUUAAAAUACAGGUUAAAAUGCAAUUUAAAAUGCAGCCUCAUUUUAAAAGUAGCCCAUAGAUCAAAACCAUAAGGGGAGGGAAACAUAAGGGUCAGACUGAGUCCAAACCAAAGGCCAGGUGGAACAGCUCUGUCUUGCAGGCCCUGCGGAAAGAUGUCAAGUCCCGCAGGGCCCUAGUUUCUUGUGACAGAGCGUUCCACGAAGUCAAGGCCAGUACUGAAAAGGCCCCGGCCCUAGUUGAGACCAACCUUGCAACUUGGGACCUCCAAAGUGUUGUCAUUUGUGGACCAUAAGGUCCUCUGCGGGGCAUAGCAGGAGAGGCAGUCCUGUAGGUACGUGGGUCCUAGGCUUCUGAAUCAGGCCAAUGGUUGACCAUCUAGUAAUAGAAUCACAGAAUAGUAAAGUUGGAAGGGACCCUACGGUUCCUGAUCAGGUUUGUGAGACUCUUAGCAAACACAUUCUUGCCAAUCUCUGUGAGAUACCGCACAUCUUUUGCCCAAUGUCCUUCCUCAAGAAAGUGGAGAAUGUGGUCCAAGAAUCCAAAAUGGUUGACUUCCAAUAUUUUCAUCUCUCUUCCUGGACCACAACCUUCAACAAGAAGGCGUGAUGGGAAAACCAUCUGUUCCUCAAGGCCCUUCAGCUUCCUACCCAGAGUCUCUUAGGCCAGUUCUCACAGUGGCCAACCAGAUGCCUGUGGGAAACCCAUAAACAGGAUUCGAACACAGGAUUCAAAAGCAUUGUGUCAGGUGUGUGUGCAGGAGCCAGGCCCUGUGACCAACAGGACUCUGCAGGACUGGGGCCUUCCUAAGUUUGUUCUGAAGAGGCAAGGCAUGGCCACACAGGUGAGGCCGCUUGGUAACUCACAGCACCUGGUGGCAAGAGCUGGGAAGGGAUAUAAGGUCAGCAUUUCCCUUUGGCUCUUUACCGUUCCUUCCUUGCUGCAUUUGGCUUCUUGCUUCCUGAUCCUCAGACCUCGGCUUCUUGACUCCUUGCUUCCUGACCCUCGGACCCUUGACUUUGUGACUCCUUGCUUCUCGACCCUCAGACCCUUGACUUCAUGACUCCUUGCUUCCUGACCCUCGGACCCUUGGCUUCUUGACUCCCAGCUCUCUGACCCUCAGACUCUUGGCUUUCUGACUCCUGGCUUCUGGACUCCCGUUCCUGCUCCCACCACACCAUCUUGCCCCUGGUCCUGACAUUCCCAGCCGGGACUUCGAUCACCCGUGAACAGGACCAUGACACAUUGCUGCCUCCAACUGUGGAGGCAGAGCACAGCCAUUGUGCCCAAGAACAUGUCCAACCCUCGUUUAAAGUCAUCUGGGGGUGGUCAUCACUGCCUCCUGUGGCAGGGAGUUCCAUAGUUUUAUGUGUCAGAUUGGGUCAGCCCACUGGGAUAAACCUGCUGAGCAAGUUACCCCAUCCCUUUCCCAAAUGCAUCCACAGAAGAGGAAAACUGGAGUGUGUGCGUGUGUUUUAAGUCUCCCUACAUUCACUAAAGACUUUUUGUAUUUCUAAAAUCCAACUAAUAGGCAUCCGUUCCUUUGCUGAAUGUCAAGGGAGCCUUAUCUGGCCUUUCUCACAAAGACCAAAAAACCAGCCGCCUUCUGAUAUGCAGCAAGGAACUUGGCAUCUAAUUGGGGAGGGGGGGUGUAAAAUCAUUAUUUGCUUGCGGCAUUUAAUUAAAUAUGCAAAUUUAUGAACGGCUCAAAAAUUGCCAGACGAAAAGGCAGCAGGGUGGUGCAUUCUGAUUUUUUAAAAGUCCUUCCCAAGUUAAUUUGGCUGGUUGUUAUCUUGGAAUCGUGAGGGGCACGGUGGUAACCCAUUCACAACCAUGGCUGCAAGGCGAAUGGAGCCGUGCAUCAGGUCCGCCACCCAACCUGCCUCAUUCAGCUCAAGAUGCCCAGGUUAUCUUGUGCAUCCCUUGAUGGAUAGGAAGAGGAGAGCUAAUCACUGCACAAGAGGGAUGUUGACAAGCUGGAAGGUGUGGAGCGGAAGGCAACCAAGAUGAUCAGGGGUCUGCAAACCAAGCCUUAUCAGAGGAACGGUUGAAGGAGCUCGGUAUGUUUAACCUGGAAAGAGAGACUGAGAAGAGAUAGUAAUAAUAAUAAUAAUAAUAAUAAUAAUAAUAAUAAUAAUAAAUAAUAAAUAAAUCUAUACCCUGCCCAUCCAGCUGGGUUUCCCAUCCACUCUGGACAGCUCUCAACAGAUUAAAAACAGAAUAAAACAUCAAGCAUUAAAAACUUCCCUAAACAGGGCUGCCUUCAGAUGUCUUCUAAAAGUCAGGUAGUUGUUUAUUUCCUUUGACAUCUGGUGGGGUGCAUUCCACAGGGUGGGCGCCAUCACCGAGAAGGCCCUCUGCCUGGUUCCCUGUAACUUGGCUUCUCGCAGUGAGGGAACCACCAGAAGGCCCUCGCAGCUGGACCUCAGUGUCCAGGCAGAACAAUGGAGGUGGAGACGCUCCUUCAGGUAUACUGGAGCAAGGCCAUUUAGGGCUUUAAAGGUCAGCACCACCACUUUGAAUUGUGCUCGGAAACGUACUGGGAUAUGAUAGCCAUCUUCAAAUAUCUGACGGGCUGCCUCAUGGAAGAUGGUGGUGGUAAUAGGUUUUUCCAAGUGGAACGGACUCCCUUAAGAAGUUGUAUACUCUCCUUCCUUGGAUGAUAAAAGGUCUGGAAGCUAAAUGUUGUGAAGAACAGUUGAAGGAGUUGGUUAUGUUUUGUCUGGAGAGGAGAAAACUGAGAGAUGAGAUGGUCACCAUCUUCAAAUAUCUGAAGGGCGGCUACAGGGAAGAUGGAGAAAACUUGUUUUAUGCUGCUACAGAGGCUGGGACCUGAACCAAUGGAUUGAAAUUACAGUGGUACAGUGGUACCUCGGGUUCCAUACGCUUCAGGUUACAUAUGCUUCAGGUUACAGACUCCGCUAACCCAGAAAUAUUACCUCGGGUUAAGAACUUUGCUUCAGGAUGAGAACAGAAAUCGUGUAGGAGGAGGCCCCAUUAGCUAAAGUGGUGCUUCAGGUUAAGAACAGUUUCAGGUUAAGAACGGACCUCCAGAAUGAAUUAAGUACUUAACCCGAGGUACCACUGUACCUUGGUUUAAGAACAGCCUUGUUUACGAACUAUUCAGUUUAUGAACUCCGAAACUGGAAAUAGUGUCCCAGUUUGCGAACAUUUACCUCAGUCUAAGAACAGAAGCCGAACGGUUGGAAGGGCACUGGUGGCGGGAGGCCUCAUUAGGGAAAGGGAGCCUCAGUUUAAGAAUGGUUUUGGUUUAAGAACGGACUUCCGGAACAGAUUAAGUUCGUAAACCGAGGUAGGUAAAGGUAAAGGGACCCCUGACCAUUAGGUCCAGUUGUGGCUGACUCUGGGGUUGCGGUGCUCAUCUCACUUUAUUGGCCGAGGAGCCAGCGUACAGCUUCCGGGUCAUGUGGCCAGCAUGACUAAGCUGCUUCUGGUGUUUGAAAGCACGUCAAAGUGCAAAGUGCAGUUUGAAAGCACGUCAAAGUGCAAGUAGAUAAAUAGGUACCACUCCAGCAGGAAUGUAAACGGCGUUUCCGUGCACUGCUCUGGUUCGCCAGAAGCGGCUUAGUCAUGCUGGCCACAUGACCCAGAAGCUGUACGCCGGCUCCCUCGGCCAAUAAAGCGAGAUGACUGCCGCAACCCCAGAGUCAGCCACGACUGGACCUAAUGGUCAGGGAUCCCUUUACCUUUACCUUUACCUUUAGAGCUGGUCCCAAAAGGGCUUUCUCUUCCAGUUGAACCAUGUUCACAAGGAAGGGCCUUCUGAGCUCAGCUGCACCUUGCGUGGUGGGCAGAGAUGUGGCGCUGCUCACCUGAUCCCGGUGUCAAUGUAGCCUACCUUGAUGGUGAUGGGGAGGGGCAGCCCACAAGCAAGGUUAGAGCCCCCCAGAGGCAUAAAUGGGAGCACUGAAUUGGUUCUGCUGGUGCAUCUACAUAGCUCAGACCUCAUCACCAUCACCCUGUGCCUCCCAGCCCAGCCCUGUACAUCUUCCACCCCAAAAGAAACUACCAAAAAAAAUCACAUGCAAUUAAUGAAUGUGUUUCCAUUCAGAACUCAUCUGUUUAAAUCCUUAACUAAAAGGAAUGAAACAAAUGGGACUCAUUUGCUUAAUUUUUCAAUUUGUUGUAAAAACAAAAUAACUCCCAAUUAGUGGACGGGCUGAAACGCGCCUUCCAUCAUUCCAUUUUGGCCUUCAUCAGAGGCCCAUCUCCAUGGUAUGAACUUUUCUGUGUGCUUUUUACACAGACAGGGCAAUUCACAAUGCAUUCACUUACAUAAUACACAUUUUGCAUGACUGUUUCUGUGGUCUAAACCACUGAGCCCUUGGGCUUGCUGAUCAGAAGGUUGGCGGUUUGAAUCCCUGCGACGGGGUGAGCUCCCGUUGCUCUGUCCCAGCUCCUGCGCAACCUAGCAGUUCAAAAGCAUGCCAGCGCAAGUAGAUAAAUAGGCACCACUGCGGCAGGGAAGGUAAACGGCAUUUCCAUGCGCUCUGGCACUCAUCUCGGUGCCAGUAGCGCGCCUAGUCAUGCUGGCAUUUAGUCAUGCUGGCGAUUUAGUCAUGCUAGCCACAUGACCUGGAAAACUGUCUGUGGACAAGCGCUGGCUCCCUCAGCCUGAAAGCGAGAAGAGUGUCGCAACCCCAUAGUCGGCUUUGACUGGACUUUCCUGCCUUGGCCCUGUUGGACUGACUCCUUGUGGAAUCCUUGGGUUCAGGAUUGGACCUGGACUGCGUUGUUCGGGUUAACCCCCAGGCCCAGCACACUGUGAAAAUGAAGGGGAAAGGGAAUAUGCCGCCGACAAGACGGUGCAGCUCCUCCCCUUCCCUUGACGGCUCGGGGUAGGUUUGGGAGUUGCAGGCAGGCAGUGUGCCAAAUGUCACUCCCCUCAACAAAGACACCCGGGGCAGUCCACCCCCAUAGCACCCCCUUCCUCCACCCCUGACAAGGAGCUCAUUGCAAUGCAGGCACAGGGGCAAGGUUAAGCAUAGCUGUCAACUUUUCUCUUUUCUUGCGAGGAAUCCUAUUCGGAAUAAGGGAAUUUAAGGGACGUGGGUGGCGCUGUGGGUUAAACCACAGAGCCUUGGACUUGCCAAUCAGAAGGUCGGCGGUUUGAAUCCCCACGACGGGGUGAGCUCCCGUUGCUCAGUCCCUGCUCCUGCCCACCUAGCAGUUCGAAAGCACAAAAAGUACAAGUAGAUAAAUAGGUACCGCUCUGGCGGGAAGGUAAACGGCAUUUCCGUGCACUGCUCUGGUUUGCCAGAAGCGGCUUAGUCAUGCUGGCCACAUAAGCUGGAAGCUGUACGCCAGCUCCCUCGGCCAGUAAAGCGAAAUGAGCUACGCAACCCCAGAGUCAGCUGUGACUGGACCUAAUGGUCAGGGCUUCCUUUACCUUUACCUUUUACCCUUAAAAAAAGGAAAACAUUCACAGCUAUGGGUUAAGGGGUGCUCCCCCAUGCCACUGGCCUCUGUUGUUCAGAACAGGGGUCAGGGAAGCACAGAACUCUGCAGGAGCACAAAGGGACAGAUUUUUGCAUGCCGCUAAUUCCACCUCCCAAAAUAGAUGCAGAGGCUGAAUGUUCUCUCAAGCAAACGGUAAAUGCACUGCUAUUAUCCGAGGCUCCACUCUGAGAAGGUCCUUUUAUUCGGAGUCUGCAGGAUGGGGCUCUGCAAACAACCCUAACCAAACAUCUACGGGGGAGUUGGGGGAGAAAACCCAAACAAACUCCACUCAACAAUGCAGAAUAGGGAACUAUAUUUACAAGUCGUUUUCCUAAUGACACUGGGAAAAGAAAAACACAGAUUAAUUUGGCUCGGAGGCGGUGGAUGGCACUGCGGGAAGCCCGCCGUAAUAACACAGAGAUCAUAAAGGGAAAGGGGGGAAACAGCCACCCUCCAACAGUAUUAAAGGCUCAUAAAGGAAUUUGGGCCUCUUUGCACAGAAUUUUACAUAAGCCGCAUGUUGAACAAGGCGGUCGAGUGCCACCAGGGUCCAUCAACCAGAGCUAAAAUUUCAAUUGUACUUAACCGCCCAGAAGGCUAAAGCGGAAAGGAUGUUUGGCUGGAAUAUUGCUGGACUCUAUUGUACAGAUAGGCAAAAAAAAAUUCAGAUAUUUUUCUGGAGGUGGGGACAGUAGAAUCAAAGACAGUGGUACCUCGGGUUACAGACGCUUCAGGUUACAGAGUCCGCUAACCCAGAAAUAGUACCUCGGGUUAAGAACUUUGCUUCAGGAUGAGAACAGAAAUCGUGCGGCGGCAGCAGGAGGCCCCAUGAGCUAAAGUGGUACCUCAGGUUAAGAACAGUUUCAGGUUAAGAACGGACAUCCAGAAUGAAUUAAGUUCUUAACCCGAGGUACCACUGUAAUUGUAAAGUUGGAAGGACCACAAGGGUUAUCUAGUCCAACCCCCUGCAAUGCAGGAAUCUCAGCUAAAGCACCCAUGACAGAUGGCCAUCCAACCUCUGCUUGAAAACAUCAAACAGAGGAGAGUCCACAACCUUUCAAGGUGGUCCUACAGCAUCGAACCGUUCUUACCAUCAGAAAGUUCUUGCUAAUGUUCAGUCGGAAUCUCCUUUUAUGAAAUCUGAAUCCACUGCUACAGGUCCUCCCCCCUGGAGCAGGAGAAAAUAAGCUCGCUCCAUUUCCCCAUUGACAGCCCUUCAGCUAUUUAAAGAUGACUAUCAUAUCUCCUCUCAGUCUCCUCUUCUCCAGGCUAAACAUACCCAGCUCCUUCAACCGUUCCUCAUAAGGCUUGGCUCCUAGACCCUUGGUCAUCUUGGUUGCCUUCCUCUGCACACCUGCCGGCUUGUCAACAUCCUCCUUAAACUGUGGUGUCCAGAACUGGACACAGGAUUCCAGGAUCUGACCAAGGCAGAAUAGAGUGGUACUACAACUUCCAUUGAUUCUUCUGAUUCUUAAACUGUGGUGCCCAGAAUGGGAUACGGCAUUCCAGGUGUGGUUGGUCUGGCCAAGGCAGAAUAGAGUGGGACUAUGACCCACUGUUUCCCCCUACUCCUGUUAAAGGAAGGCUGCUUUGCAGAAGGGGUUCUACAAUUUAUUUGGGGGUGACUGCCCUAGAGUGAUAUAAGAAGGGUUUGGCUGCUGGAUCUUGCUGGCCAAAGGGGGACCACCUCCCGUGUCCUGUUCUUACAGGGGCCAACUAUAAACCCCCAAGCAGGUCCUGAGGAUGACAGCCCGCUCCCCACUUGUAAUUCUCAGCAUCUGGGAAUAGUGGUAAGAAAACAUAGCCAUUGUGGCUAGUAGCUUUCGGUAGUUGGUGGUCCUCAGUUCCUCUUGUGAUGGAAUGGUUUUCCAGGCAUGGCAAUAAAAAAAUGUGUUUUUGGGUGCCACGUGAGAUUAUGACCCCACAAAAGCAUUUUUUCCAGGGGGGAAUUGUGGUGUGAAAUCACACAAGAUUGUGGUGAUCAUUUUCUUGCGAGAAAAAGACGGGAUGCCCUGGGUUUUCCGGGUCACUUGUGGGGUAUGGUAUUGGGCACUGUGGAGGAUAUAAAAUGGUGGCGUGACGUCUUCCAAUGGCAUUUGAAAGUGUUAAUCAAAGGAGUGGGCUAUCUUUAAGGAAUGCAUCAAAAUCUAUGUGGAAAAAGUAGAAUUUCUGACAGAUAUUGAGUGAAUCCAGAAAAUGAUGAGAGUGAAAGGAGAGUAAAGUCAAGACAGAAGAAGAGAUUAAAGAAAUAAUGAAAUGCCUUUCAGCUAGUUGGAAAAAUAAAGUAGCGUAACAAGAAUGGCUGAAAGUCAAAUCACUUGGCGGGUGUCCGUGUGGGGUAGGAGUGUAGGUAUGUUGAUAUGUACAGUAUAGGUAGGUAUUAGAUAGAGUCAUGUAGGUAUGUUUUAUGCUGUGAAAAUAAGGUAGUGUAUUGUGCAUAUGUAUUGUGUAAAUGUAAAUGUAUGUGUUUUAUAUGUAAAUAAGAUAUUUAAAAUAAAAAUGAAAAUGAAAGAGUUAAUCACAGAAGUUGGGUAGCAACGCUAUCAGGCAACGAACAUAAGGAGUAGAGGAGAAGCUUUAGGUGCUACAAAAUAUUGUUUAUUGCAAGCCCACCCAGAGCCUCUGCAGUAUUCCUAGUUUGUUAGAAUUGUUUCUUUAAAGAUGUGACCUUGGUAAAGGAUUUUUCCUUGAAACACGUUGGGUUCACAAUAAACAGUGUUUUGCUACACCUGGAGUUAAUUCCUCUCCCUUUUUUUCACUUGCAGUGGCAGCAACAGAAAAAAGAAAAAUCCCGAAGGAGAAAAAUAAAUGAAGAUGCUUGAAGGUUUCUCCUCUGACUGGAGAGACAGGGUGAAAUCCCACUCCCGAUUUCUCUGCACACACAGAGAGCUCAUUCACACACAACUCUAUUCCCUCCCUCCCAUAAUAAUCCUCUUUGUUUUUCAAAAUUCUGGCCAAUCACAACCCAGAUUUGGUGAGAAAUUAGAAUCAUAGAAUUGCAGAGUUGGAGGAGACCCCCAGGGUAAUAAUCCAGUUCAACUCCACACAUUACAGGAGUCUUAGCUGAAGAAUCCCAAAUGGAUGGCCAUUCCACCUCUGUUGAGAAACCUCUGAUGAGAGAGAGUCCACCAGCUUCCUGGGUCAUCUCCACUGUCGAACAGCUUUUACUAUCAGAAAGUUAUUCCUAAUAUUUAGAUGAAAUAUCCUGUCUUCUGAUUCCACUGGUUCCUGUCUUACCAGGAAACAAGCUUCCUCUGUCUUCUGCGACAUGUGUCAACAGUGUGAUGCAGCAGCAAAAAAAGUUAAUGCAAUUGUAGUCUUCAGAAGUUGAUUGUCAAGAUCAAGGGAAGGAAUAGUACCAUUCCAUUCUGCCUUGGUCAGACCAUACCUGGAAUAUUGUGCCCAGUAUUCAGUCCGAUAUCCAGAAGAAUAUCAACAAUCUGGAAAGUGUGCGACCAAGAGGAGGGCAACCAAGACGACCAAGGGCCUGGAAACCAAACCUUAUGAGGAAUGGUUGAGGGAUUUGGGGCUGUUUCGCUUGGAGAAGAGAAGACCGAGUUGAUGUGAUGGACAUCUUCCAACUAUCUGAAGGGCUGUCCAAUGGACGGUGAUGCUCCAGAGGGCAGAAUCCGGACCAAAUGACAAGCAAGGUGAUUCUGUCCAUGGAAUCUGUUUCUGGUUUGCUCUCAGCCAGCCGCCUCUCCAGGAACACUGCAAGCCCAUUCAAGCUGCGGCGAUGGCGGAUGAGUAAUUUCAUUCUCUCAUCAUUACCGGGGAUUGAUUCGGCAGCAUCUGCUGCGGCAUAUGCCACUUCCUGCAACGCGCUGCCCUUGCUGAUGAGGCGACGCAAGUCGAGCGGCAGGCAGCCGAGGCCUCCCUGAACAGCAAAACCAGAUCCGGAGGGGGGGCGGGUGGGUGCACCUCUGUUUGCAAUGCCCGCAUGCCACACGUCCGCAAAUCAGGGUUUCGCAAGCCAGGUAGAUGGGGGUAAGCCCCAAGGUACACGGCGGCACAUUGGGCCAAAGCGUGGAAGGCACACACGCCAAAAUCAAAACCCAGGGAGGAAUCAGUUGAGCAGAGUGGAACGCAGUGCUAAUUGCGCCACGGAAGAUGGUUGUCAGCUGCCGUAAUUAGACAGCAUUAAAGGAAACGCGAAGGAAGAGUAAAUACUCAUUGCUUUAUUUCCAUUUUAUCUCUUGCUUUGAAUGUAAGCGAUCAAAGAGUCUUGCUUGCAAGGAAGUUCUCCAGUUGAUAGCUAUCUUGCCUCUGGUUCUUUCCCAUUGCGUUCUUCCAUUCUCCACUCUCUUCUGGUGAGAGCGGGCUUAGGCCGAUGUUCCCGCGGUGGCCAAGGGUGGCAAACAGCCUCAGGCAACCUAACCCAUCAGUGUGGUUAAACCGGGAUCCAUUAACUGCUGACAGCAUAAUAAGCAAGUCAGGAUUGCAGAGGUUGGGCUGGAUGACCCUUGGGGAACCCAUUCCAACUCUACAGCUCCGUGCCGUAGACCUGAGUUGAAAGAUGUAGCGUCCUUGCUUCGGUGUCAUUGCAGGUCUUCAAGCUCAGCUAGCUCCUUUUGUCCACAGAACAACCUACAAAGGGAGGUAAGACGAACCAGUAGGUUGUUUUAUGGCAGAGUGUCAAACCAAGGUCAUGGCUGCCCAAUGGUAGAUCACAUGUUGCUCUCACUCACAAGGUCCCAGGUGCGAAACCCCACACCUGUAAUAUCCCACAUCUCCACCCAAAGACACCCCAGGAGUCGCCACCAUCUGACACAGAAAUAUUGGGAUAAAAUGGACCGAUGGACAGUUUCAGAUGCUCAGAUGCUUUAGACACCCCCUGGUCCAAGACCAACAGCUGAGAGGCUGCCCCAAACUGAAUCCCAUUAACCUCCACGGGGUCAUCAAACAGGACUUAAACUGUUUUCUGUCUCAGUUUCCAGGGACAAUUCUGUGAUCCAGGCUGUCAGUCACCGCUAUUUCCGAAGCCACCGCUAAUGGGACGAGGGCGUCCAGGCAUAAGUCUUCCACCACUUGCAUCCACUUCCUGACAAGAUAUUUAUCUGGCUUCUGUUGCUAUAGCAACCAAACACCGAGUCAUAAAUACCCGCAUACGGCCCUGCUGUCAGGUGCUGUUGGCCCAGUUUUGCAGAAGGGAGGGAAAGGAAGUGUUUAAGGACCUCACGUCAAACUCGGAAAAUGCUCCGGUGGAAUCUGAUGGUGUCUGUCCUGGUUUUGAAUCAACUGAUGCCAUUGCAGAAAAUGAACAUCUCCCUGCAGGGAGAAAUUCCCCUGUGUAAGGAAAGGUACAAAUAAGACAUUCGCCCAUGCGGCCACAGCUUGGAAAGAACUGGCUUAGCUUCACAAAGCUGCCUGAAUUAAUUUGGAAAUCUCAGAGCUGUACCUGAGAGCAGUUCUCUUAACUGCCGAGGGAACUAAAUGGAGUUUUAAGCUUGUUUUGGAAUAGAGCGGUGGUUCCCAAAGCAGGCAGUGCUACCCCUUGGUGGGGGGAAUAUCUAGGCGGGGGGCGCUAAGGGAGGCAAGGGAGUUCUUGAGGAUGCUUCUCAGCCAAAGGAGCACACAUGGCAGAUACAAACUCUUUAUUGUCAAAGAUAACACCAGUUUUAGGGGCACGGGUGGCGCUAUGGGUUAAACCACAGAGCCUAGGACUUGCCGAUCAGAAGGUCGGCGGUUCGAAUCCCCGCGACGGGGUGAGCUCUCGUCGCUCGGUCCCUGCUCCUGCCAACAUAGCAGUUCGAAAGCACGCCAGUGCAAGUAGAUAAAUAGGUACCGCUCCGGCGGGGAGGUAAACGGCGUUUCCGUGUGCUGCUCUGGUUUGUCAGAAGCAGCUUAGUCAUGCUGGCCACAAGACCCAGAAGCUGUACACCAGCUCCCUUGGCCAGUAAAGCGAGAUGAGCGCCGCAACGACUGGACCUAAUGGUCAGGGGUCCCUUUACCUUUACCUUUAACACCAGUUUAUGAACCUCCCCCUGACAGGCUGUGCCAUGCAGACAGAGGAAGCUGCCUUUGCCCUUCCCACUUGAAUUCUCUUCUGGUUCUGGGAAGCAGUGGUGCGGGAGAUGGUGGGGAAGCAGCUACCCCUUCACUUGCCUGACUGUUAUAUACUAAGCUUGGAUCCUAGAACAAUAGGCAAGUAGGAUCCUAGAAUGCAACAACUGAUUGGCUUGCAGGAGAAGACCAAUCAGGCACCAGGAGGAAGUAGGCUGGUGCUGGAGGAGACUCUUGAGAGUCCCACGGACUGCAAGAAGAUCAAACCUAUCCAUUCUGAAGGAAAUCAGCCCUGAGUGCUCACUGGAAGGACAGAUCCUGAAGCUGAGGCUCCAAGACUUUGGCCACCUCAUGAGAAGAGAAGACUCCCUGGAAAAGACCCUGAUGUUGGGAAAGAUGGAGGGCACAAGGGGAAGGGGACGACAGAGGACGAGAUGGUUGGACAGUGUUCUCGAAGCUACCAGCAUGAGUUUGACCAAACUGCAGGAGGCAGUGGAAGACAGGAGUGCCUGGCAUGCUCUGGUCCAGGGGGUCACGAAGAGGUGGACACGACUAAACGACUAAACAACAACAAUCGUAGAAUGCAACAACUGAUUGGCCUGCAGGAAAAGACCAAUCAGGCUCCAGGAGGGAAGCAGAAUCAGCCAAUCAGGUGGGGCUCAUUGUGCAAAUAAUGUAUAUAAAAGCCUGAGGUUUUGGGGGGCAAUUCAAUCACUGUUUUACAAGCUGCAAUAAAGAGCAUGGAAUCACUACAGGACCCUCAGUAUAUUUCACUGACCUGCUUCUUCCUUCUCUUCCUCCUGCUCUGAAGCUUCCCUGCCUCUGAUUCUCACUUCCCGGCUGGUUCAGGUCCCCACAAAUCCCUGCUCCCCACUCUCCACUCCAGCCCCGCUUCCCUCGUCAGUGGCCCCCCAGUCCCUGACAUGGGUACCGGAGGUGUGAAUGACUCUCCGACUUUGAAAAGCUGCUAUUGCUGGAUCAAAUUCACCAGUUUUGUUGGACUCACUGAACUGAAUCGUUCCCAUUGGAUUUCGAAUAAAUGUGAAAUAAAUUGCUACUGUUUUGAAUUCUGUUGUGCUGUUAUUUUCUUCCUUAGUGGAUCGCGCAAACUGCUUUUUCGAAAAAUGCUUUUUAUAGAGUAGGGGAUGAGUUUAUGGGACCAUGGGGGCAAUGGCCCCAGAAAAGAUUCCUGCACUGCAGAGGGCUGGACUAGAUGACCUUUGGGUGUAUUCCAACUCUACGAUUCUAUGAGUUGGGGAACCACUGAGAUAGACAUUUGAAUGAUUUUUAGUUCCUUUUCUUACACCUUAUAAAAGGGAACUCUUAAAACACUUUGGUCCUUUCAGCUUGUAACAUUCUGAAUGGUGAUACAUAUUUUGUUCAUAUUUGGAUGAACCUGAAUUGAACUGAAGGGGAACUGAACUAGCUCAUUUUGUAAAGUGACGGACGUGAAAUGAAAUUUGUUCCCUUUGGGAAAUAUUGAACUCGAAUGAGAAGCAGUUCCUCUCAAAGAUGGGGAUUUAAUUACCACAUGGAUCCUCAGGAUUUUUGCGUUGGGUCACCCCAAAUUCACCAUCAGAUCACAUAGCAUGUCCAUGGCUACAGGCUGCACUAAAAAAAUCACACAUCCACUGUUUCGUGGGGUCGCAAUGGCACUAAAACCUGGUUACAAAGCACGGAUCCACAUGGAUUCUCACCCCAAACUCACCAUCAAAUCACAUGUCUGUGGCCAUAGCAUGAACCACAAAAAUCAUACAUCCACUGUUUCAUUCAGAAUUGUUUUUUUCUUGUUUCCCUCCUCUAAAAACUAGGUGCGUCUUAUGGUCAGGUGCGUCUUAUGGAGCGAAAAAUACGGUAUGUUUUGUCAAAUAAUAAAACAGAACUUUCCAAGUUGUGCAUGUGACUAUGUUAGAGCAGCUUCCAAUGACCAUCUAUUAUGACAUCUGGUUUCCCAUAAGCAGACCUGGAGAAACAUGCCCUCCUCUCCUGGUCUUCUGGGCAUUUGGAGACAUCUUGUCUCCAGUGCUGGAGGUAAAAGAUAGACAUUGCAAGCAGGAUCCACACAUGGCCUUUUUGCUUCAUCAAGUCUAAUCCCACCUGGCAGAGCAAUCCACACAAUACGGAGCGCAAUUUAUGCAGGGAUUUAUUAUUUCAUGAUUAACUGCGCACUUGUAACUCCGAAGGACCCUGCUGGCAGACUCCCUUCCUGCAGUUGUCCAUUGCUGAAGAGAUAAGUUACCAGAGAGGGCGGCACCCACAGCAGUCGCCCAGAAAUUCAAUGGUGCCCACAAGCCUCAAAAAGACACAUGGCAUGACUGGGACUCGGCUUUGACAUGCUCCAAGAACCCAACAUUUGGCAGUGCGGCAGCAAAUAAUAUGAGCCUAAAAUUAGUCAGCCAUUUUCUCUGGAACCGAUAACCUGUAGAGUAAAUGACCCACGGAAUAAUUCAACAAUAUCCUCCUGGCUCUGUUCCUUUGUCGGCUUUCUCUGUAGGACAUUAGUACAUUUAAAAAAAACAAAAAAACCAACUCUAUGCGCUUCCAUACAUUUCUCCCUCAUAACCCAUUUUCCCCGCCUCCCAUGAACUCAUAAUCCUCCCUUUUGUGGCCGGAGGAGAAGUGCUAAUCUCACCAAAUUGUACGUCUGCAUUUUAUCACCGCCGCAGGCUAAAAAUCAAAGCUUGUUUGACAUAAACGGCUUAAACCGGCCCAUUAGAACUUUGCGUCGCUGUGGCCAGCUGUAAAGUUAGUUUUGGCAGGAAUAGCUCCCGACGUAUUAUCAGCUGAUUUAAAUACUAAUGGUCCGGUAACCACAUUUGAGCAGAAUAAUGUCUGUCAUAAGAGGAGCCGUAAAAAUAUCGCCGUUUCUCUCUCCCCGCCCCACCCGGAAAGGCUUGGAAAUGUUGCCAGAGCCUCAAUUCCACCUGGAUAUUAAGCAUCUUUCGAUUCCACCCCCAUGGAACCUUUGCUCCAUCCAAAGUAAUGGGUGCAGCCAUGGCUGGGGUGUUCAAAGACCGGGGACAUGGGAAGGUCCUCCCCUUCAAAAUAAAUGGAAAAGGAAACCUGUUAGGAAAGAGUUGCAAAUUUCGUCUAAGCCAAAAUGUUGGGGGCGAUCCCCUUCUGCUCUUGCCAAAAUGCACACACCUGGGCACCAGCUGUGAAUCCAUCUGUAAUAAGUGCUUUUGUAGACUCUGUUAUUGAAGUAGUCAAACGCCUCAUAAUCAUUAAUUGGGUGUUACAGUAGCUCACCUGCAUAUCUUAGAAGUUCUGUUUCUUUUCGAUGGAGCAGAGCCAGGUUUCUGUGCAGGUGUGUGCAGAGCUUGUAGUCAUCACAACAGCUCAGUGGAUGCAUGCAGGAGGUCCCAGGCACAAUCUCCAGCAUUGCUAAGUAAAAGUCAUUUUAGGCUGCUUCCUCUUCAUCCUGGAGAAGAGUGACUAGUGGGGUGCCACAGGGUUCUGUCUUGGGCCCGGUCUUAUUCAACAUCUUUAUCAACGACUUGGAUGAUGGACUCAAGGGCAUCCUGAUCAAAUUUGCAGAUGACACCAAACUGGGAGGGGUGGCUAACACCCCAGACGACAGGAUCACACUUCAAAACGACCUUGACAGAUUAGAGAACUGGGCCAAAACAAACAAGAUUAAUUUUAACAGGAGAAAUGUAACGUAUUGCACUUGGGCAAAAAAAUGAGAGGCACAAAUACAAGAUGGGGAUACCUGGCUUGAGAGCAGUACAUGUGAAAGGAUCUAGGAGUCUUGGUUGACCACAAACUUGACAUGAGCCAACAGUGUGACGCGGCAGCUAAAAAAGCCAAUGCAAUUCUGGGCUGCAUCAAUAGGAGUAUAGCAUCUAGAUCAAGGGAAGUAAUAGUGCCACUGUAUUCUGCUCUGGUCAGACCUCACCUGGAGUACUGUGUCCAGUUCUGGGCACCACAGUUCAAGAAGGACAUUGACAAACUGGAACGUGUCCAGAGGAGGGCAACCAAAAUGGUCAAAGGCCUGGAAACGAUGCCUUAUGAGGAACGGCUAAGAGAGCUGGGCAUGUUUAGCCUGGAGAAGAGGAGGUUAAGGUGAUAUGAUAGCCAUGUUCAAAUAUAUAUAAGGAUGUCACAUAGAGGAGGGAGAAAGGUUGUUUUCUGCUGCUCCAGAGAAGCGGACACGGAGCAAUGGAUCCAAACUACAAGAAAGAAGAUUCCACCUAAACAUUAGGAAGAACUUCCUGACAGUAAGAGCUGUUCGACAGUGGAAUUUGCUGCCAAGGAGUGUGGUGGAGUCUCCUUCUUUGGAGGUCUUUAAGCAGAGGCUUGACAACCAUAUGUCAGGAGUGCUCUGAUGGUGUUUCCUGCUUGGCAGGGG